rnacentral:lncRNA from 1 species
UUAUAAUAAAAGUAGAAGUAGGAUUGGAUACACCUAAUGAAGGCGACUAAGUAAGCAACGUGACGUUGGGGAUGACAAAAACAUCUUUCGACAGUGAGAGGCGGAUAUGCAUAUAUAUAUAUACACACACACACACACACCCAGCACAACAGAAUCUUGCAACAAUAUAUACCAGUAGUAAUAGUAAGCUGCGGUUGUACGUAGUAAACCAGACCAAACCAACCACCACGUUCAGAAUGGAGGCCAAACAGCAGCAGCAGCAGCAGCAGCAGCAGCAGCAGCACUUUCUGGUGGUUGCUUAUCCGAACCAGGGGCUGAUCAACCCGGCGCGGGUGCUGGCGGAGCGGCUGACGGCGUCGUCGUGCGGCGUCACCUUCUCGACGGGCUUCUCAGCCCACCGCCGGUUGUUCGUGGACGACUUCGCCGAGCUCUACGCCCGGGCGGCCGAGCUCGGGCCCCGCACCCUCGGGGCCGUCCUCGACUCCCUGGCCGCGCNCGCUCCCUACUCCGACGGCUUCGACGCCGGCUUCCGGUGGUUCGUGGACGACCUCGCCGAGCUCAACGCCCGCGUGGCCGAGCUCGGGCCCCGCACCCUCGGGGCCGUCCUCGACUCCCUGGCCGCGCGCGGGCGCCCCGUCACCCGGGUCGUGUACACCAUGGCCCUCCCCUGGGUGGCCGACGUGGCGCACCGCCGCGGCCUCCCCGCCGCGCUCUUCUGGGUCCAGCCCGCCGCCGUGCUCGCCCUCUACUACCACUACAACCGCAGCAGCGCACACUACGACCGCCUCAUCGCGGAGUCGUCGGCGGCAGCGACCGUCGAGUUCCCGGGGCUCCCGGGGUUUGAGAUUCGCGAGCUCCCCUCCGUGCUGACCAACACCUCCGACGAGACCUCGAGGGUCAUCCUGCAGAUCUUACGGGAGGCGUUCGAUACGCUGGAGUCGGAGUCGAAGGAGAAGACGACGCCGCCGCCCACGAAGGUGCUGGUGAACACGUUCGAGGCGCUGGAGCGGGAGGCCCUGGAGACGGUGCGGGGCCGGUGCGGGAUCGACGCAGUGGCCGUGGGGCCGCUGAUCAAGGGAGGAGCCGGGGGGGACCUGUUCGAGGCGGCGGAGGAGCGGCGGUACAUGGAGUGGCUGGACGCGCAGGCGGAGGGGUCGGUGGUGUACGUGUCGUUCGGGAGCCUAGCGGUGAUGAAGGGGCGGCAGAUGGAGGAGAUGCGCGCGGGGCUGAGGAUGUUGGGGCGGCCGUACCUGUGGGUGGUGCGGAGGAACAACAGGGAGGAAGGAGAGCGAGUAGGGUUGAAGUGGGACGAGGAGGAGGAGGAGCAGGAAUCAGCAGGGGGGAUGGGGAUGGUGGUGGAGUGGUGCGAGCAGGUGAAGGUGCUGUCGCACCGGGCGGUGGGGUGUUUCGUGACGCACUGCGGGUGGAACUCCACGCUGGAGGGGGUGGCGUGCGGGGUGCCCGCGGUGGCGGCGCCGCAGAUCGUGGAGCAGCACACCAACGCCGCGCUCCUGGAGAAGCGCUUCGGGACGGGGGUGAGAGCGGAGAUGGACGCGGAGGGGGUCCUGCUCAGGGACGAGCUCAGGAGGUGCGUGGACUUCGUCAUGCGGGACGAAGGGAUCAGGGCCAGGGCGGAGAUGUGGAGGGAGAAGGCGCGGGAGGCGGUCGAACAAGGCGGGUCGUCGGAUCGGGAGCUCAGGCGCUUCGUGGAGGAGGUCGCACCACCAUCGACCUGAUAGCAAGAUGGCGCUAUCAUCGAUUUGAGGGGCACCACACCAAAUUUGUAUAUUUCUAUAAUAAAACGUGUGAUCAUAUAUUUAUCAAAUUUGUGUAUUUGUAUAAUAGAACGUGUGACCAAAUAUUUAUAAUAAAAUAUUAUAUUUAAUGUUAAUUUUUUUACAGAAUAAUGAUAAUUUAUCUGAUAUAAUAGUAUAUAUAUAUUUUUCCAUAAUUGUGAAAAGAAAAAAUUUGAGAAGCAAAAUAAUUAAUAUAUUAAUAAUAAUUCCCUUACAUAUAUAAUUUAUUGAAAAUUUUGGUAGAGUAAUAAGUUAUCCCUUAACAAUUCAAUUCCUUAUUUAUUUUUAUAGUUUACGGGUGCGGUGCGGAAUAGAUUUGAUGUGUAUGUUGAAUCUUUUCUAGUAAUGUGGUUUAUCAUACGAUCAUUUUUAUAAUGUGUUUUAUCCAUACGAUGUAGGAAUAAUAUGAUUAUACAAUGUAAUAACAAAUUUUGAAAAUAAUAUAUAUAAUAAGUGUUGCUAACUUUAGUUACAGACUAGCCUUUUGGUAUCUGUUUGGCCCUAAAUUCAACGCCUUGCUCUAUACUAAUUUUUUUUUUUUUUUUGCCUUUCGUCAAUGGUAGGUAGGGCUGUAAACGAGCGAGUCGAGCGAGCUGGGGCCAGCUCAGCUCGCUCGAACGUCUUCAGGUCGGCUGUGCAUUCGGCAUCGGAGUCGUGCGAGAACUCAAAAACUCCGGCUCGUGAUCGGAUCGAACGCUUAAUCGAGCUAGCUCUGUUCGGGUUCGUAGGCGCCGCUGUCGAAGUUUCACUGCCGCUGCCGCUGCCGAAGUUCGAUGCUGAGGGCUUUGUUGUAUGGUGCGACCAUGACCGCGAGUGAGAGCGUGAUGAGGGAUGGAAGGUUAAAGCGUGUUGCACUGUAGAGGCGUGAGCAGUGGGAGGUCCAGGUGAGAGGAGGUACAAGCGGAACAUCGUAAUCUAAGAGAGAGUGGGGUUUGGGCAAGGUCGUGUAACAACCUGAGAAGUAAUGGGUAGUAGUAGUAGAGGGAAGGUAGUUAAAAAACGAAUAGGCACUUACUAGUAAAAUAGUGAGAAUAAAAAUGCAGCAGGCUCAGGGGUGGCUGGAUGAGGGAGAAGGAGAUAUGGCAGGCGGAGUGCGGGGCCGGAGGCCUUCGCAGCGGGGCGGAAGAUUCCUGAGGACUGGGUACCAGGGUGGUUAGGGAAUCUGGAAGGACAAGGUGGAGAGAGAUCGAGAGGUUGAAGGAGGGAAAUCCGACAGGGUAAUUAAGAGGAAAGCGGGUGUAAGAACUUAAGCGGAUCGGAGCUUCAGGAUCUUCGAGAGCGGCACGGAAAACGCUGGACAGUCCGGGUGCGGAUUAGUGCAAAGAAGGGAGGGCCAAGACCGUUUCCCGACUUCAGGCGGUUGAAACAACAGCCCAACAAGGCACAUAGGCAACCGAUUCAAACAAUCAGGCCUAAUUCCCAUUUGUGUCAUUGCGGUUAAGCACCUGUAGGAUAGUUUAUUUAAUUUCAUUCAUACAAGUUGUUAGAUUUAUCAGACUGUAUAGCAUAAAGGAGACGAUGAGAUGACAAUGAAUUGUCCAACAGUGGAUUGAGAAACCAGCCCAACAGAUUAGGCCAUAGAUAAUCCUUUAGAAUGAGCUAAAUUUAAAAUUAAUAAUCUGUAUUAUAUAUUUAUAUACAAAUAUAAUAUAUAUAUAAUAUAUAAACAUUAUAUAAUAUAAAAUAAAUAUCAAUGAGAAGUUUAUCGAGCCGAACCACAGAGCGAGUGACGCUACUGUUUCGGCAUGUUUAUAAAACGAGCUGAAAAUCGGUUCGUGUUCGGUCGUUUAUAACGGGAGUCGAGUCCGAUCUCGAGCUCAUUUCGAACCGAACACGAGCUGGCUCGCGAACAGCGAGCUGGAUUGCCACCCCUAGCUAAGGCAUCAUAAGGAGAGCAAGUAAAAUGAAACUCGUGCUAUGCUUAUGCGGACAUUGUUGGAUCACAAAGAGAGCGUAAUUUACAAGACCCAGAAAAGAUUCAUGCAUUAGCAUACAUUGUUUGCAAGUAAAUUGCCAAAUUUGUUUGUAAGGACAGCGUGUUUUUUUUUUUCCCCACUUCGGAGUGGGGGAUACUCGUGGCCAGGAGGGUCAAAUUCCUAUAUAUAUUUUAAAACCAAGAAUGCGCUAGCAAAUUAUAUUACAAAUAGUCUGUCCUGAAGUGAAAGUGGAACACUAUUAGAUAGAUCAAUCAAUAUUACGAAUUUUAGUUUAUACUGUCAAACAAAAUAUAAGCCUCAAUGAAAUAUUAAGAAUAUAAGGAAACAAACAUCUCGCUAGACAGGCAAAACAGAAAAAGGAAAAGAAAAGAAACUAGCUAUGGUACCCACCAUCUACAACCCUAUAAACUCUAGGACUUUUACAAGAAGGGGAUUUAAAAUUAUACCAACAAGAAAGAAACAGUUUACUCUUCGGGACCAAUUUUAAGACAAUUGAGUGGAGAAGAAAAGUAGAUGAAUUCCCUCUCAGCAGCAACCUGGCGACAAAAAAACACGAGGGAAACGAAGUUUAGAUGCAACAAGAAACAAACAAGAAAUCUUCAGGCCCUAUUUUGUUUGGCAAAAAAAAAAAAAAACCUUCAAAUGUUGUGUUGAUUACAAAUGUCGUCCCAUUUUCUCAAAGUUACAAAUCUAAAGAUUUGGUCCUUCAAAUCUUGUUCAACAAAAAAAUUAUGCUCAUCAGCUAGUCUAGCAUACCAAGAAAGAGUAUACAUCAGUAUCACUGUUAGAGUUUGCCAACAUUGCAUUUUUCUUUUCUGCUUUUCCAAUUUUAACGAUGAUAUGCAGAACAAGCUUUAAGGUUUAGACUUUACUAGAGAAACUGAAGAUUUCGAGGGUAAUGGAUUAAACUUUUCAAGGAAUAUAUCAGUAGUAAAACACCCAGAGAAUUAAACACAGGUGGCUACAGCAUUAUGUGACUGACUAACCAGCAGGUACAGACAUUAUCAAACAAUAGGCAGCAGGCAUACAUAGACAGAAACAAAAAUACAAAAAUAAUCACAAAAAGUGUCAAUAUAAUUAAAAAGUUAAUCAUGUGACCUUAAGAAGAGGGGAUGCAACCGCUGAAGCUGGUUGUUGUCUUGUUAGAUCCCUAUUGAUGAGGAGUCAGCACUGCAAGAUCACAAAAAACAUAGUCAGGACGGAAAUUGUACGAAUACCCAAUAGAAAAGGAAUGCAAGUACAGAUUUUUCAUAUCCCCAGUGGCUAAUAAGACUUGAGUUUUCAUUCAGCUAGAAUUCCCAGAAAAAAAGAUAGGUAAAGAAAGAAAUGGCGGAAAAAAGAAUGGGUUCGAACCGACUACCAUAUACCCAAAGAUAUCUUAUAGACAGCAUAGACAACACUUCCAUGACAUGAAGGUUGAUAUAUUCAUGAUAGAUAUAUAUACAUGUAAUCUAAUUACAUGUAUAACCCUGCAGGAUCUUAAUUUAUAUAUAUGCUAUGCAAACACUUAAUUCCUGCAUAUAUACCCCACCCCCAAACUUUUCAAGCACAGCUUCCUCCUCUGAAUUGGUUAACCUGCCCCCCACAAAAGACGAGGAUUAUUUAUGUAAGAAACGAAAAAUUUUGAGGGAUAGCGGGGUUCGGUAUGUAAAUAGAUGAUUUUGCUUGGAUAUAUACGUAAAAUCUGAUAAAAGGGUCGAUGCCUCUUUGGGGGAGAUAGUCCAGCUUUUCUAACCAGAAGCACUUGAAGGGCUAAAAUCUUAACCAAAUGUUGGAGCUUUUUUGGGGGGGAAGAAAAAGGCAAUAAUCACAAGAUGGGGAAUUUGGGUCUUUAACACUUGCCCCAACCAAUUGCUUUUUAGGCUGAUGGAGUUCCUUCAUUUUUCGUACCCCACUGUUCCUCACCAUCGUUCCCAUUUACAAGGACGCCGCUAUCUGUGGAAUCUUCAAGAUCGACUUCAACAGCUUCUUCUUGAACUUCCUCCUCUUGAACGUCCUCGUCCUCUUGAACGUCCUCUAUUACAUCCUCCUCCAUAGCCUGCAAAGAAUUGUAGAGAAAUUUUGAAGGAAGGGGAAAUACUAAAACUGUCUGCAAACAAAUAUAUAUAUAUAUAUAUAUAGAGAGAGAGAGAGAGAGAGAGAGAGAGAGAGUCCAACUACUAUGCUAUCAAUAGCACUAAGCAUUUGGUGCUACUAAGUUUUCUUCCGUUAGAUCUAUCCCUUUGAUUAUUUCCACCCGUUAGAUCAUACUAUUCAACCAAUCACCUACUCAACCCUAGGGGAUCACUAUCAUCCUAACCGCACAUCCCUUAAUCCAAGGGCCAAAAACCUAAUAGCACUAAUGACUAGGUGCUAUUAAUAGUAUAGUAGCCUAGUUCUAUAUAUAUAUAUAUAUAUAUAUAUAUAUAUAUAUAUAUAUAUGUGCAGAAUUUGUCCCCACAAACUAACUCACAAAAUUGAAAUCCUAGCCUGCGGUAGGGAUUGGAAUGAUUAGAGUUAUAAAUACAGCAUGCAAUAAAGACGCAAAAUGUGUUAGGAUCGAUGUUAAAAGAAAAUUGUAGUGCAUUCAAUAGAAAUCAUUCAAAAACACAAAACAGCCCCCCAAAAAAAAGAAAUGAAAAGUUACUUACAAAAGAUAUAUCAAAGAAGUCUUUCUCAACAAGGAAACUAGGCAUGCGAUCUCUUAAAGCAAGAUAAUUAGUUCAUUUUUGUGGUACAAGGGCAGUAUAGAUUCCUUGGGGGAUAUAAGUGAAGAAUAGUAACUAAAUGAAUUUCUUGGAAAACCUAAAUUAUUCCCUAUGAAGUGGAUAAAACAUGUAAUUUAAAACACUGAAAGUAAAUAUUACGUGGAUUUCCUACACACUACAGAAUUCAUUUGUAUGCUGAGGAAAAAGUAUCAGGUAUCAUGCAUUUUCUCUUUCUUUGCAAAGUUUAAUACCUCAUGACCAGGGUCUCCAUUUUCAACUGGUAAGUCUUCUUCAGCUAUUUGCAUUGCCUUGAAAACUUCAACAAGUGUUGCAUUUGGCUUUUCAGCGUGACUUAAAUAUUCCUCAGCAGGUGGGUAAAUUCCCCUGUAUGAAUGAGAAAUUUCACUAAAUUUGAACAAGAGAUAAAUGGGUUAUAGGAUAUAAGAUGCCCCAAAAAUAAGCCCAAAUAAUGCUGCACUCAAUUCCGAAAAAUUUUAUAAUUAUUGGGAAGAUCAACAAUGUACUACUUAUAAGCUUAAAGUAAGGGGAUAUAUGGAUUCAUGAAGUUUGUGAUUCGGCCGUAAAUUGAGUCUAUUAAGAAUGGAAAUGCCAUCCAUCAUGAAGACACCGAGAAGAUCCUGUAGGUAGCUAUGAGCUUAAAUUCUUGAAAAUAAAUUCCCUUCAAAAGGUCCGGAGCCAUCUUUCGUAGAAAGACCCAAAAUCUAGCCUAUGAUUAGACAGUGAAUCUCCCCACUAGACCCAAAAUCUAGCCUAUGAUUAGACGGUGAAUCUCCCCGGUGUUAUGUUAGUCCAUGGCAAGACCAAUAUUAUUACUCGCACGAAACUUGAUUUUCAACAGAAUAAUAAAUCUGUAAAUCCAAACGCCCGUUAAGCAUGUAUGUAUAAGGAAUGACGGAAAGACCAUAACAUAUGCACCUUUUAGGGGCGAGAUUAUUUUCAACAGCUAGAGCAACUUGCCAGUCUUCAAAUAGAUUAGGGUAUUCGGCAGGAUCAGCUAAAGACUCUGCAGCCUUUGGAUUAACCUGUGUAAAGAAAGGCAUAGUAUUAGAAUAGGAUAAAACAAGAUCAAAUUUGGUGGACCGAAAAGUUGAAAGUUGAAUACCAAAAGAAAGUUAAAAUCACAACAAAAAUAGCAAGCGAAUGAACCAAAAGCACCUUAUUGAGAUCAUUUCUCCAAAUUGCUACGAUCUCUGAAACUUUGCUUGGAAGAUAAGAACGUGCCAUCAAUGCAGCUUCUGGUAUUCGAUUACUGUAACACAAAAUUAUGUGAAAAUCAACAGAAUUAACAAAAAAAAAGGAGCUAGCAUACGAUAUUAAAAAAAACUUUGCAUGCACAGCACAUGAAGCACAUAAUUAGUUACCUCUCGAUCAACAGCUGAAUACAAUCCUCCACUUUACCAAGCAUAAAGAGACAAAGAUAAGCAACAUUAUUCUUCCCUUGCUCUUUAGCAAGGGACGCAAGUCUUGUUAUCCCUUCAGCAUCUCCAAGAGCUGAGUACAAAAGCAGUAAGCCGCUCAAGUCCAUAGCUUGCGAUAGACACUCCUCGGCCAUCUCUAACUGCAAAGAAGGAGGUUACAGGAUAUUAAAUAAAACCAGUUGCAAAGGGCAUUAGUGUAUCUGUCUCACAAACUAUCACCUCGACAUAGAGAAAGACGUAAGAAUCGUAUAACAAAUUUAACCAGUUGCAAAGGGCAUGUGACAUCCCAAUAGUCCCAAAUCGGAUGGGUAAAUGAUUCUGAUUGGAUUAUAAGAGCCCUCGCACCCUAAUAAUAAUAGCUAGGCGUAUGCAUUUUGGGCCGGUGGUUUGGACCUGACGUGCUAGCAGGUCAGGUCAUUACAAUUGGUAUCAGAGCCUGAUGACCAACCGGAGGUGUGAGAUGGAUCUUACAUCGCCUGGUGAAUCUGGGACUAUAUGUAUGAUUGGGCCGGGUUGACGAAAAUGUCAGGGCCCUAAACCAGGGAAGUAUGUGACAUCCCAAUAGUCCCACAUCGGAUAAUGUGAGAGAGUGAUGGGUUUAUUAGUGACGGACACACUAGUAAUAAUAGUCAGACUUAAGCAUUUUGGGUCAGUAGUUUGAGCCCGACGAGUUAUUAUUGCUAGCUGGUCCGUCGUUACAGGGCAUUAGUGUAUUUGUCUCAUAUCUUGAGGGUAGCUAAUAUACCUUUCCUGCUGACAUUGCUAGUUCUCCCAACUGCUUCCACUUGGAUUCACUUUGUACUUCAACAGCAAUUGCCUGCAAAAAUAAAUGUCUUCAGAAGAGAGAAAACUACUAUAUAAUCAACAUGCUCUUCCAGAAUUUAGUAGUAUAUGCAUUUGUCAUGUCCUCCAUCAUGUAACAACACCAAUCAUGCCGGACCUUUGCAUCAUCUAGUCUCCCAAGCUGAACAGCUAAGUCGAAUCUGUAGUCAGGAUCAAUAGCUAUUUCAAGAGCAUCCUCUAGCAUACCACGGGACUCCAAGAAACGAGCCACACUGUCCAAAAAGAAAAGGAUCCCUAUGAAAUGGGGUUCGCAAAAAGCUCAAGAAGUAUAAUGAUUGCAGGAAUUGACUGCAGGAGAACCAGAAAGAAAGCAAUGUUCAAGUUCUGAAAAGCAAAAUGAGAUACAGGAAUAGUUUCAACUCACAAAAAGAAAACACUAACAGAAGAGAUAACAAAGAAAAUGUGCAUAAAACAAGACGUCAAUUGUACUUUCAGGCAAAGACAGCAGAUUUCAUUUUAUUUCUUUCUACUAAUAUAACCACAAUGUCAGAAGAAAAACUUCCUAAGUGUAUAAGAAUCACAUUAUGUAUGUCCAAUUUGGAACUGCCGAGUAGGGUAUCCCAACAACAAUGAACUACUGGUCAUAUUUUGCUUUAUAUCAAAAUUUCCAAAUUUCCAGAUAUAGAAGAAUAAAUUUUAGAGAAAGUAAAAUUCCAUAACAGAUCAAGGAGGCACCUGUUAUGAUGUUCCUUUGGGAUUGAAGGCAACACAUCCUUUGCACGUUCCACAUCCCCACGCAUCACAAGAGUUUUAUAUUCAAUCAAACUCAGCAGUAGGGUGUAGCCCAUAACACUGCAAUGGACAAAAUUAUUGACCAUAGAAUCCAAAUGAUUGGAUGACAAACAUAUAACGAAGCAACUUCCAAGUAACUCACUUAAACUCCUUGUCAAUAAGAUAGACUCGACUUUGGCUAGCAAGAUAUCCUAACAAAUACAUGGGCCUAUCCAAAUGAAACAUGGUGGUAACCUACAAAACAGAGAAAAAUAAAUCAGUGAUCUAGGUAAUGGAAGCAUGUUGGUACAAAUCAAUACAAGCAAAUACGCCUUGGUGUGCAGAUGCAAAAUACUACCUCUCCACCGACACAAUAAUUUAAUCGCCACGCAGAGUUAUUGUAAAUGAAACAGUCUCCGACCCAUAUCCCAGUUCGAAUGCGCUCAUUAAUCUCGUGAAGCAGCUCAAAGGCAUCCUCAACACCUUGCUCAUCCACUGGCUUUCCGCCUUCAAGAUAAGAAGAAACAACAUCCCUCUGCAGAAAAGAAAGUUUUCCAUUAUGGACAGAAUAAAAUUAUCACCUAUUGUCAGAAUACCAAAUCAACAAGAGCAUGGUCUGCGCAAAUAUAAAUGAGAAGUUGCAUGCAAAAUAAUCCUGAUGUAAUGCCAUAUAUCGUAUAGUCUUACAUUGUACUUUAAGAUGUAAAAAGAUGUGUCGCUCGCAAUUGUCACCAAGUCACCGCUAUCUGCCCAGUAGAGAUUCUGCAAGGAGAAAUUAUUACAACAUGAACCAAGAUGAGAUACAACAGCAUACCACAAAAGAUGUAUUCUCAUAGUAGAAAACUAACUCACUUUAACAUUCACGUCAAUUCGGCGGAUUAGCCUGCACUCAGCCCAGUCAUAAAAGCAAAUGAAGUCAUUUGAGCACAUUGCCAACAAUAUCCCGCCAAAUAUACGCUCCGCAGAAAAGGUUGGCCGGAUACUUUUUUUCUCCUGAAUAUGCCGUAAGUCAAAACCUCAGAUCCAGAAUCAAUAGUCAUAAGAUAACAUGAUUUUUGAAAUUGAGGUCCACUACAAACAAACUAUGACAAACCAUGCAGAGCAGUAAGCUCUAGCACAACAAAAUUUCAACAUACAGAUGAGAGGACCUUGAAGGGCAAGAAAUAAAUGUUAAUUGUAUUACAAGCCUGCUAAACUAUUGUCGGUGAAGCAUCCAAGGACAGGCAGAUCAAGAUAAGAAUAGUAUACUAGUGCCAUAAUUAUAAUAACUAGCAGACAGUAGAACUUUCAACCACUUGCUGAACAUUCAAAAAAUUCUAAUAAGACUAUCUUAAACUAGAAUAUGGUAAUCACAUUUGAUUACAGAAAAAAUUAUUGUUACAAGAGUUGUCAGCUUACAAUACAAGAUUACAGUUCAAUUACCCAUGUUAAAGAUGUACAAAAAGUUAAAAAUUGUAAAUAAGGUAAGAACGAUGCUGGUCAUAGCCUGCCCCAAAAAGAAUCAUAUACAGAAGGCAUACCUGGAAAUUUUUACUAUAUAUCUUUAUCCUGGAUGUACUUUCCCUGACGGCGUAUUCUCCAUCCGAUGACCAAACAAAUUCCAGUGCAGAACCAAAAGAUCUAUUUCUCCAUGCCAAUGCAGUGUAUAUGAUAUAUUCUCCAUCUCCACAAACAACAACAAAUCGACCAUUUGGGUUAUGCUUUAAGCUCUGGCAAAAAGAGCAGAACAGUUAGCAAAAUCAUUAUUUAUAAGCUGAAGGAGAUUGUCAGAAACAAGAAAAUCAUAAAGAAUACAAUGUUGGAUCAGUACCAAUUAACAGAUAGAGAGUAAAUUGAACACAAGGUUUAUCAUCAAAGAGGCGUAGUUUGGACUUUGCAGCAUUUAGGGGUUACAGACAAUUAAACAUACCACAACUCAUGAUUAUUUAUUCUAUUCAAUCACAAGUCCGAUCUCGGAUUUCUGUACUCCAGAAUUGGUCAUAAUUUCCUAGGUAUAGGCAUCCGUACUACUAGUAAUUUACCAAGUGGUAGCUUUGAUAUGCGAUUAUAUCAAAUACUUGAAGAUGAUUUAACAAAGGGAUAUGACAAGAUUAAUCUUAAAAAUCUACAGAUGAGUUGGCCUAAACCAAAAAAAAUGCUCUCACAACAAGGAUCUAAACUGUUAUUUUUGACUGCCUAAUAGUAUCUGAAACAUUUCGAGUUUUCGACAUUCCUAGGUAUGACUUUUCUGUAUCGGAGAUUACAAAAUUCACUAUAUAACAAAGAGGGCGAGGGAAAAAUGUAUAAAUUACUAGAUGCAUCAGGGAUUAAUCAGUCUUAUGUAAACUUACUUGUGGGUAAAGAUCACAGCUUCCCAACUCCUUGACAGUCAAUGGCAAUCUCUCUCCGUCCGUAACCUGUCAGGGAAGAUAAAUCACCCAACGUCAAAUUAACUCCCAAAGCUUCUUUUUAUCAUUUAAACAGCAUGGAAGACUAACCUCAAAAUCCGCACCAACUGUCUUAAUGUUCACAGUUUGAAUCUCAUUAUGCUUUGCCCAUAUAAUUUUUCCACUGCUGUCCAUGCUAGCAACUGGUUCUUCGCGACCAAUUUUUAUCAUAAUCGUCCCUUCAUCAUACCCUAUUACUACCCUACAAUAUAGCGACAAUUUCACUUUAUUCUGCAUUAGAUAGUCCUGGAAAGUUGAACUUAGCACAAAACGAGGACACAAAAGAGUUAGCUGAAGAAUGAACAAACACAAGAAGAAGGCAGCCUCUAAGCAUGUCAAGAUAAUAAUAUUAGUCAAAGUAAUGGCAAUUUAAGCAACAAUUGUGAAAAGUACAUGAGUUCUUAUUUACAAAUCUUAAAAAAGAUAUUUGGGACUACCAUCCUGGGUAUAUGUACUAGACUAGAGGAAAAAAUGAGCCAAAAAAAAAAGAAUAGAUCUUCCAUAACAAAGAAAAAGGACAAAAAAAAUCUGGUAACAUCAACCAUUAAAAGAAAGUUAGAAGCGCUUUAGUGAUUCCUCCAUUUACCUCCUUGAACCUUUGAUAUAGCCAACAGCCCAAACUCGUUCAAGGCCAUAAUUGAGCGUAUUCUCAAGCCUGUAAAAGGAAAAUAUUAUUUGGAUCAAAAUCAAUAAAUCCAUUUGUUUCCUAUAGAAACUCAAAAUGAUGGUUAGACCACCUUACUGGAACAUCAAUUGCAAGAUUACAGAAGUCAAAAAUUUCACAUACAUGAAUUCAAACAGCAGUGCAGAGACAUAUAUAAGAAAGAACCAACCUAUAAGUAGUUGCAUGCCAUAUGCGAACUGUUCCAUCCUCUGAACCUGUGAUUAUUAUGGGAAGCUCAGGAUGGAAACAGACAGCUGAAACAUUAUGGGUGUGGCCUUCGAGUGUUUGGACACAGCUUUUGGUUUGAUAGUCCCAGACCUGAUUUGACAAGAAUGCAUUUAUACAUAACUCAACUAAGCAUAUAUAGUCGAGCUGCUUCAUGGAGAUGGAAAGGUAGGAAGAAGACCUUGGCAGUGUGAUCGUCAGAACCAGUAAUCAAGUAUGGCCUAUCACCACCAGUAAAGUAAUCAACACAAUUGACACCCUUCAAAUGAGCAUCUAACGUAAAAUUUGGAUCUGGAGAGCCAAGAUUCCAGAUCUGCAAAAUUCAAAUUCAAGAUAAAACACCGUACAUUGUAUCCCAGAUUAAAGAAACAAUAAUUUAAAGGUUAGAGAAUAUUACUGCAGACCUUCACUGUCCGGUCAAGGGAGGCACUUGCAAAAGUGUUGGUAUCUUUCGGAUUAAAACAGACUUGCAUCACAUAGUGAGAAUGUCCCUCAAAAAUUUGAGUACAUAUCCAACCCUUGUCCCAGUCCCAAAGCUUUAUCAACAUGUCAUCAGAUGAUGACAACACAUAUGGAAGGGUUGGAUGGACAGCCACACACCGUAUGUAAUCGGUAUGAGCUUCAAAAACUUUGAUUUUGUCCAUUGUAUUGUAAUUGUACACGCGAAUAAACAUAUCAUCUGCUCCAGCAACAACCCAUUGUUUACGUGCAAUAAAUUUUGCAGACCGCACUGAAAAUACAACAAAUAAGAUAUCAUGAACUCCUGACACCCAAAGAGAACGACAUAUAGUAAGAGAAGGAAUGGGGUUCAAAAUACCAUACCUGGUAACUCAGUGACUUCAAAUGAUUUCACCAUAGUCUGCAGAAACAUCAACAAGAAAUUGCAAUGUGAUUAAGAAUGAAAAUUAAAUAACAGUUCGAUGUCAAGCUGUUGAUAAUUGAUGGCAUAAACUGCUAUGCAACAGUAUCACCAUAAAUAAUCAUUAAGCAGAAUACAAAGAAGCUUAAAUUUUUAAAAGAGCACUAGCAAACUAAUAUAACCAUGUCAGUCUGACAAUUAAAAGAGUCCUUGGCGGUCAUUCUUACAGUAAAUAGGUAAACACACCAAUGAGGUGUACGUGUGAUUUGAGUUGAGCUAACUAAACCAAAGUUUAAUAAUUCCCCUAAGGCCCUAACUGAUCCUCCUCCAGGAACAUGUAGGGAUACUUCUUCAAGAUCAUGUGCAAAUGCAAAACAAGAAGAGAGAAGCCAUAAACUUCAUUAUUUAAAUGUUAAGGCAUAUAAGUAGGAGCUAUACCGUUUCCUAUAAAAGAUGAAAAAAAAACAGAGGAAAGCCUAGAUAAGUUGCAAUGUGUAUCACAAGGAUUUCUAAUCUGAAAGUCUCGUCUAAUAUUGCAUAUCCAACUCUUUGACUGGCUUAUCUGUUUAAUGAAAUAAAGAGUUUGGACGACAGGAAUCAAAGAAGCCCAAAUCUAGUCCCCAUUCUAGAACAAAAUGAGAUCUUAGGUGUCUUGUAACGCCGUUAUAUUUACCCUCAGCACAUCUCAGUGGCAUCUUCUAUCUUGUUCAAAGGUGUCAUUAACAGGGUCUGGUCCCUCACAUUGACUAAUCGAGGAUAUGUUUACUCAAUCAUUACAAAGAAAAAUUUUGAACCAAUAAGAAUGAUGACGAUGGUCUCUUCUUCACCACAAGAGAUAUGCACAAGCCUUCAGCAGGUCAAUAUCCAAAUCCAGUAACUAAGUUUCUGGAAAAAGCUGCCCCCAAUUUCCGCAUAGUAUGGUAAGACAAUGGUUUUAAUACAAGCAAAGCAACUUCAUGCAUAGCAUGUUUCAAAUUAUGCCCAAAAUAAGUAUCUUACCUGUGAUUGAUAGUUCCAGAUGCAGACACUUCCAGAAUAAAGACUUGCUAGAAUCCUGCAGCAUACACAGAAAAAGGCUUAUACGAUAAUAUACAAAUAGAUUUCUUAAACCACCUAAUCACCCUGAAUACUAAAAAGAAAAAAAAACCCUCAAUUACUCGCAUAUACAGUGAACUAAGUACUAAAUGCGCAUUCCACAUGAACAGAUCUAUGAGAUACAAGAUAUAUAUGAGACUAGAAUCGAAUUACCAUGGCUCCGUCGGAUGCAGAUCUACCGACUUCACUCUCUCCGACCUUUGCGCAAGUUUCCUCUGAUCCAGUGAUCAUCACAAGCAGAUUUGCAAUAAAUAGACGCAAAUUAGAAAGAAUUGAACACUACUGACAACAAAACCAAUAAGAUCAAAUCAAUACUUGAAGUACCUUGAUUUCUAAUCUGAGAGGCUGCACCACCGGUCGCCACAAAGCACAAAAAACAAACGUCACUAAUCAGAUCCCAUGCAAACCUCAGAUCUCGAUAAUAAUUCGAACAAAUAACAGCUAAAACUCAUGAAUCGAGUACAACUGUAGAAUGCAAUACAGAUCGACGAGAUCAGGGGGGAAUCGGAGCUUGGGAAGCGGAUUCCACGCCGGAUCUAGCUUACAGCAUCCAAAUCGACGAUCACCGAGAUAUGGAUCGCGAGUACGUACCAUUUUUGCGGAGUAGAACGAGGAGCGGCGGGGAGAUCCGGGCGAUCGUGGAGGGGAAACCCUAGAAAGCUAGGGUUUUAGAGGGGGCGGAGGGGGGAGGCGGAGAAGAAGGAGAGGCGACGAGGUGGAUCCUUCCGAUCUCGCGAGGGGCGUCCGUGGCAGAGGAGGAAAAAAAAAAUAUAGGGACGAGGGGGAAGGGGAGUCGGGUUACGGGGCGAACCGGGUAAAGUAGAAACGGUGGUGUGGCGUCCAAGCAGAGGCGCGGAUUUUCAGUUUAUUGCGAAAUUGCCCUUCGAUUGGGCUGCAAAUGGAUCAGGGUUGGCGGAGCUCCAACCCGGUUCAUCCGAUAAANAUAUAUAUAUAUAUAUAUAUAUAUAUAUAUAUAUAAUCCGUCGGGAUCCAUUAAAAAUUCACCAUAAACUAACUUCCGCAACGGUCCACUCUGAUUAAAAUGAUAAAUAAAUAAAAGUCAAAAAUAAAAUAAAAAAUUAAUUUGUUUUGGAUCAAUCCCGAUCCAAUAAGAAACGGAGAGGGGGUUUAGGAUCCUUCCCGUUUGCAUCCGAAGGGGAAGCGCGUCACAGUGUUCCUUAUAAGUGCUUUUGCUUAUUGUGAACCUAUGGAUGGUACAUGAUCUAAUUGUGGAGUUAAUAUACUGGCCCAUCAAAUUGGAAAUGGAUUUGAAAUGAAAUCGGAAUGAAAUUCAAUCCCUAAACGGGUUUUACAAUCCCAUUUCCAUCUUAGAAUAUGAGUUGCGAUAGCGGACGGGCAUUCCAACUCCCAUUUCCGACCAAAAUUUUCAUUCAAAUGCGCCCACACGUAACAAAGUUGUUCAGAAAGCUUGGACAAACAGGUCAAAUUGAAACUAAAAUAAUAUUUGAGUAAAGCUGUCACCUACACACUAACAAUUUACACUCCAUCUUCUUGGCAUACAACAAAAAUUCUAAAUUAUUAUUUACCAGGAGCCUGAUUUUGCCUCUCUAUAACUUCUCCAUAAUCUAGGCCAAGUUUACUUAUAAAAAUAUCAAAUAUGUCAUAAAAAAGUUUUUUCUUAAGAGGAAAGCAGUAUGUUAUCCGUUUUAUUUAUUUCAUUCAGAAAAAAACUUAGUUGAAAAUAUGAAACAAUUAGAUUUUGAACUUGAAAUUUCGAGUGCCAAGCACUAAGCUCUUUGCCUCUUGCGCUAGAGGCCGAAAGAAAAAACUGUGUACGAAAGCCCUUGUUCAGCCCACGGAACCCCCAUAAUGAAUUAGCAGGCUUUUCCAUUACAGGGCCCAGUUUGCUUUUCGGCCUUAUCUGUUUGGGCCUUAUUGGGCCGUAAGUUGAUUUGUUAGAUCAGCACAAAUUAAGGCUUCAUAUUUGGGAUUACUGGAUGCAUUACAUAGAGUAAAAUGGUACGAGAGUAAAAAACAAAAAAACAGUGUUUUAUAUAUUUACAUAAAUAAUAACACAUCGUGGAGAUCAAACUAGUGAGAUUCUACUAGAAAAUAAAAAAGCAUAUCUUUAUAUAUAUUUUCCCAGCUUAUUUUCUGCAGUAAUUAAGGUACGGAGAAAAACAUCACAUGAAUUUUAACACUUCAAUUAUUAUCAGCAAAUUAAGAUGGUCUCUAUAAAGGAUUAGUAAAUGGAUCAGGCCAAGAUAAAAGAGAAAAAUGUGGCCAGGUUGAUCGAUGGGGCCUAAGUUGUUGCUUACAUUUUGGAUUUACAUUAUGUAGGUCCAAUUAUUUGGAACAGUAGUUGUUCAACACUUACCUUCAACAUAGAGAUUUUUUUUUUUUUUUCUCCCUCUCUCUCUCUCUCUCUUUGGAGAUAUUUAGACUAUGGUCCCUAGAUAAUUUCUCAGUAGUAUAUAUUGAAAACUCUGUUAUUAUGAUUAAAUUUAAACAAAAAAGAGAAUUAUAUAUUUGGAGAAUGACACACUUGCGUAACUUGAGAGAACCUUGUAGUACUUACUACUUUUUGUUUCGUUCAUUCUCUUCACUUUUUUAUCUCUUUGAGCUUUCCACAUUACUUUAAACUAAUUAUUGACCACUUUAAGAUAUGCCCACUUUAAUUAUUUCAAAUUGGUCCUUCAAUCAUUUCCAUAGCUUUACCUAAAAAAUUUGUCACAGUUAUAAGUGAAAAUUCCUUAUAUCUUAGCAUAUAUAUAUAUAUAUAUAUGUAUUUUUUUCUUAUAAUUAUUCACCACAACACUUUAUACCGAGCAUUGAGUGGUCGUUAUUUGCUUUUUGACACUCGGAGGGACUUAAGUUGGUAUUAUUGUUGGGCACUAACCCAUCCAUUUCUUUUGGGAGCUCAGUGUAAGUUUUUUUUUUUUGAAAGAUAGGUAACAUGCUAUCCGCUUUAUUUAUUUCACUUAAAAAUAAACUUAGUUGGAAAUCUGAAUCAAUUAGGAUUCGAACUUGGGACCUCGAAUAUCAACCACCGAGCUCUUUUUCACUUGCACUAGAAACUGUCUGUGAGCUCAGUGUAAGUUAAAGAUACAAAAGUACGCAUGGUAUAUGUUUAUCAUCUAUCCACUAAAAAGUGCUUCACAAAAGAAAAGGUUGGAGAGACGUGCUUGACUCAUCACUUCUAUGAUUGUUAGACAAUAAUCCAAUGAUCUAGUAUGUUCCAACUCGUUAAUUUCAGGUUUGGACCCUAAAAUAUUGCUAUCAUAGUUUAUCGGUUUUCAGUUCAGUUGUGUUUUCAAUUCAUUUUAGAGUUUAAUUAACUUGGCAAACAUGUUUCCUUCCCAAAUCUAUAACCUAUUAAGAUCUAUGUAGGCCCUGUCGUAGGAUGCGAUUUCGGAUGGCAUUGUUAGAAGAAACAUAAGAUGUAGUAUUGUUUGAUAAACUGUCGAGUGCAAUUAUGCACGAUGUUAACAUGCCCUAUACUUUCGUAUAUAUGCAGGAAAAGCUCCAAAUCUUGUUGAUCAAUUAUUUGCCAAGUGCUCUAGGCGACAAAUGCUGCUGCGAAAAAAGUACCUAAAAUCUAGGCAAAGUAGGCACUAAUUCUUUGACCUAGAUCGUGAGAGAUUUGGAGAGGACACAAAAUAGGCACAAAGAGGAAAAAUUAAAGUAGCAUUCAAAUACUAAAGAUGAUAAGGUCUGUACCUGUUUCUUUGAUCUAAAUCAUGAAAGAUUUGAAGAGGAGACAAGAUAGGCACAAAGAGGAAGUAAGUGACAUUCAAAUAAUGCCAAAGAAGAUAAGUUCUAUAUGAUCUCUAUCUGAGCCAUUACAUAAAAAGCUAAAGUUGCAGAUCUAGCACACUUAUUAGUUCCACUUUGUAGAGUACAUGCAAAGCUUUGGAGCCACAGAUUAAUUAAUCUAAAAGUCAACCGUCCAUUCUUAGGCAGCUUUCACGUACUCUCACCCGCAACCGUUGAUCCUCUGACUAUAUUAAAGUCUAAAGGGUCACUCACAAAAAACCCUAGAAAUAUAGCUAGUUCAAAGAGAUACAUGCAUGGAAAUUACACACACCCACAAUGCAUGCACCUUCUUGUAGUUGCUCUUGUGGAGAGAUCCAAAUAUCUGAAAAGUACUUGCUCACAUAUUCUAAAGAAUAAUUUCACAUGGAAGUAGAGAGGCGUAUGAAUAUAGUCGAGUGUGUACUAUAUCAAUACUUAGCGAAAUGCAUGCAAAUAUGCGGAGAUUCACGUGUUCGUUCCGAUAGAAAACUACAGAUGACGUACUAACAGAAGAGUUAACAGAAGAGGUAGUGCAUGGCUUAAGGAUAUAGCACGCUAAAGAUGUCUGUAUAGGAAAUGAAAUCUAUGGCACAAACUUGAAUAGCUAACACUUUGGUCUAGCCCAGAGAAACUGUUGAUGGUACGGGAAAGCUUUAAAUUAAUCUGUAUGUAACUUCUUUUUUUUUUUAAGAGAUAGAUAGCAUGCUAUCCGUUUCAUUUAUUUUUUUUUGAAAUAAACUUAGCUGAAAAUAUAAAUCAACUAGGAUUCAAACUUAGGAUCUCGGAUACCAACUACCAAGCCCUUUGCCACUUACGCUAGAGACAGUCGGUUCUGUAUGUGAAUAUUGAUAUACAAAAUAGAGGAAGGUAGGUAAAUAAAAAGUAUGAUGAUACAUAUGCGGUUAGUAACUAACACACAUUUUAUCUUCUGUUACUCACAGUUAAAGCUUUAGAAUGCAACUAAAUAUGAAAACUACGUGAGCUAAUGAAAAUUUUCCUUUGUGAAAUCAUGCAACUAGAGAAAGGGAUUACCCUACUUAAUUAAUUUGCUCAUACUCACUUUCAACUUAAAAGAAAAGAAGAAUCAUUGCUGGACCUAUACCAACAAUUAUGAAGGCUAACAAUAUUGCAACUGUAGCCACUAUCUCAUUCCAAUGAGAUCCAACCACAAGUUUAUUAAAUAAAUAAAAGCUUCUUAAAUUGUAGUAAUUAUCAACCUUUGUUCAAGUAAUUAUAAUUAGUACAAAUAACGGACCAUCGAUCCUAGCAUAGAUUGGUAUCCGAGAUUCCAAUAUGGAAGGCAAGUUGCUGCAUAUUUCACAUUAACUUCUUUUUUAAAAAAAUGGAUGAAGCAUGUAUUAUACUACGUUUCUCUCAAAAAAAUUAAGAAUAGUUAGUACAAGUAGAAUAUGUCGUUUCUCCAACUCCAACUCUCAAUCUUUUAGAGAAAAACAGUUAUUUUACGGGACAAAAGAGAAGCAAUUACUAUCAAAGAAGCUUCUAAAGAACGGGGAUCAUGAAAUGGUUGUUUCAAAUUAGCAAUAUAUUACUUAAAUAAAUUUUAACUUGCAAGCCUUUGGAAUAUAUAUAUAUAUAUAUAGAGAGAGAGAGAGAGAGAGAGAGAUAAUUAGGCUCGUAUACUAUCGGAAGCACGGAGGUCUCCGUGCUACCAAGUUUUUUUCAAUGAUGUAGCUUCCAAAUUGAUGAUCGGUUCUGUUAGACUUGAUCUACACUACUAAAAGUAUUUGGAAACUAAAUUUCAUAACUUUUCGGCAUCAUUUGGCUAGUGAUCAAAAAGUCUCAAAAUUGACAAUUUUAAUGAUAGAUGUGAUGCGUUUGUAAAUUUAACUGUGUAAAAUAAUUCAAAUAUGAUGAAAAUUUUAUAAAUUUUUUUUUCACUAUUUAGAGUAAGAUCAGUACCUCUAAUCUUAAAUUCAAGUCUUUUAUCAUUAUUUUUUAUAAAAUUUUUAUUUUCAGCCGUUCAUUUUUAGACUACUCGUUUGAUAGGCAAAUGAUGCGAAAAAAUUAUGAAAUUUAGUUUUCAAACACUUAAUUUUAAUAGUGUAGAUCAAGACUAACGGAGCCGAUCGUCGAUUUGGAAGGUACAUCGUUAAAAACAACUUGGUAGUACGGAAGCCUCUGUGCUACCAAUAGUAUACUAGCCUAGCUCUAUAUAUAUAUAUAUAUAUAUAUAUAUAUAUAUAUAUAGCGCUACUGUACUAUUAGGAGUACAGCAGUCCUUAUGCUUCUAAUUUUCUAACCAUCUACCAAAUUUAAUGAAUGAUUAGGACAAGAGAAAGAAGAGAAAUUAAGGAGAAAUUCAAAAAGAAGAGAAAUUGAAACACCCAAUUUUUUUUUGGAUGAUGUGGUGGACUGGGUCUAAGCAAUAAAUUUUUGCGUCGCACGGUAGGGUCACUUAAGUUAGGAGGAGAGAUUAUCACGUGGAUUGAAGAAUCUGUCAGAUAAUAUAUUUGUAUAGAUGUAUAGAUUGUUAUUUCUCUUUCAAAAAUAUUGAGCAGAGCCCAUUGUCGAUAUCCCUGUGAGGCCUACAAAAAGACUCGCCAUUGACCCUUCUCUAUCAAACAAUACUUUUGCAGGAGAAGCACUUCCUGCAUGCUUAAGUGCUUUUGCCACUUCUGAAAGCGUGUAUCAGGACCUAACAAUAUAAUGCUAGCAAAGCCUAUGUAGGUUUUUAAUUAAUAGAACUGUUUGAAGAAGCCAUAAUGAUUUUUUCUCCAUCAAAAUUUUUCACACUUGUUUGGCUUAGCUCUUUAAAUAUUUUUUCAAUCUUGAGAAGCAGUAAUUAAGUAUUUGAUAAACAAAAAUUCAAAACUUUUGAUAUUAUAGGAAAGGCUAAAAUUGCCGUGCUAGCUUUUAGUCUCCGAAUGCAAAAAAAUUUUGAAUCGAAAUUCUACUGCAAUGUUAAUGAAAAGUUGUGAAUGUUUUUUCGAAUAAAUGUAUUCGAGCAGCACCUACAUAAAACUUUCAGUUGUCACAUGUAAACCUUCAUCAACUAUUAUGUUUUGUUACAAUUAAAUGCAACAGUUAACCUAAAAUCAGAAUUUUUGUUGUUGAUUUAAUUUUGUUUUUCGCAAAAUAUGUAACUUCUUGUUCUUGAAUAUAAGCUAAAUACACUUUUAAUAGGGCACAUUUAUCAAACAAUAUAAUAAGAUAAGAAAGUGAUGCGGAAAAAGAAAGAGAUUUUCGCAAUUCAGAGGCAUAGCUCAGCACAUCAGAAUUAUCAAAGUUCGUUGUAUUAAACAGUUAAUCCUGUUAGGAUGAGAAAAAUCGAAUUCCACGAAAAAUUAAUAAGAUUGUGAUCAUUGAAGAAGGACAUUGAAUUCGAUAAGUUCCACUUUAAUCAUCCCACUUACCCACUACAUUCCUUCACUAUCUGUUGCCGCUACUGCCAUCUCUGAAUCACUAAACUCUUCUCUCCUCUAACACCACUCUCUUUUUUUAUUCUAUCCAAUUCAGACCAGAGUGUCAAUUCCAAGCAUUAAGAUACUCAUAAUAAAUUAAGCCUCGCUCUCCUAUCCAUUGUAACUCUCCUGCGUCGACCGCAGAAUCGCUAAACUCUUCUCUCUCCUACGACAUCACUCUCUUUUUCAAUUCUCUCAAAAUCAAAGAACAUGGGUGCCUAAACUAGGGCUUUUAGAUGUUAGUAACAAAACCUCAGAAUCGCUCAACUCUUCUCUCCUUCGACGUCACUUUCUUAUUUUAUUCUAUCCUAUUCAAAUCCAGAUACUGAACACUAAUAAGUGUUUCUAAACAAAACAACUCUCUUAUCUAUGAUUCUAUGAAGCUUCGUAUAAAAGAAAAUUACUUUAUCAAAUGGAAAGGAGAGGGUUGCGGCGAAAGAGGGGUCAAUUACUCAGUUACCCGCAUGAUUGCAAAUAGAAAUUUCUAGCUCAAAAAGGUGCGGUCGUCCCCAUCUCCCCCCAUUUAUGCGGAUAUGCCUCGGUAUAUCCCCCUCGCACCAACUCAAAAGUUUCAUCAUCACAUGUAGAAGAAGAUCGAGGAAAAUAUAUUGAAGAGGAAGGGAAACUUUUUCCCGCGUACAUGCAUUUUGAAAUGAGUCAAAUUAGUUGAAAACCACUUUUAUCCAGGUUUUAUUUAAAUAUUUGCUCGAUCUCUAGUGCAUUACUUUAUAAAUUUUCUUUUCUUUUGCAAUAUUGUUUGAGUGGUAAGUUUAAGAUGGAAUGAAUGAAUCACUUUAUAAAUAGAAAAAAAAAAGAAAAAUUGUCAAAAAAAAACCAUGUUAUGAUAUAUAUAUAUAUAUAUAUAUAUAUAGAGAGAGAGAGAGAGAGAGAGAGAGAGAGAGAGAGAGAGAGAGAGAGAGAGAGAGGGGCUACUAUACUCUUAUGAGUACGUACGAUCGUCCCCAUACUCAUAAGUUGUUUCCGAUGAUAGAUCUUCCGAAUCGACGAUUCAUACCAUUAAAUAUUAUUUAGAGCAUUUAAAACUUCUAAAAAUCAAAUUUCAUAGUUUUUCCACAUCAUUUACCUUACGAUCAAAAGCUAACAAAAUUGACAAUUUUUAACGGUCGGUAUGAGAUACUUGCUAGUUUAACGGUGUAAAAGAAUUGGAGUAGAUUGAAUUUUUGAUAGAAAAGUAUAUUCACUACCUAAAUAAAGAUCAAUAACUCCAAUAUUAAAUUAAAGGAUCCGAUUAUCCAUUUUUAGAACGUCAUUCGAUUUUGACCCAUUUUAUACCCAUUUGAUUAACUUUAUUAUGAUUUCGAAAAAUUACAAAAUUUAUUUUUUAGAAGUUUCAAAUACUCUAGAUCUUAUUUAACGGAGUGGAUCGUCAAUUCGGAAGCCCCAUCAUAAAAAACAACUUAUGAGUACGAAGGNAAAAAUAAUCAAAGAAAUUAAUCUAACGGCAAAAAACUUGAUAGCACCAAGUGCUUGGUGCUAUCGAUAGCAUAGCAGCCGGACUCUCUCUCUAUAUAUAUAUAUAUAGAGUUUGGUUGGCAUACUAUCGAUAGCACCAAACGUUUGAUGCUAUCAAGUUAUCCGCCGUUAGAUUUAAUCCUUUUUAACUAUUUUUAUCCGAUAGAUUAUACUAUUAAAUCAAUAACUCACUCAACUCUAGGAAACCCGCAUCAUCCUAACCAUACAUUUUUUCAUCCAAAAACUGAAAACCUAAUAGCAUCAAUAGCUUGGUACUAUUAAUAAUAUUGCAGCCUAGUUCUCUCUCUCUCUCUCUCUAUAUAUAUAUAUAUAGAGAGAGAGAGAGAGAGUUCGGCUACUAUCCUAUUAAUAGGAUUGGGACCAUUGUCCUAUCAAAUAGUUUUGAAUGAUCGACACUCCAAAUUGAUAAUCGACACCGUUGAAAUUGAUCUACACUAUAAGAAAUAUUUAAAAACCGAAUUUUAUAAUUUUUGAAAAUCAUUAUCAAGUCUAUCGAAGAGUCGAAAAAAUGAACGGUCAUAAAUGAAUAACCUUCUUAAAAUAGAGGUUAGACUUUCUCAAAUCAUGAUCAGAGUUAUCAAAUAUUAUCUAAAUAGUAUAAAGAAUUUUCCAUAAAAAAUUCAAGCAAUUUGGAUUACUCUACACCGUUAAACAAGCAAACGGCUCAUAUAGGCCGUCGAAAAUUGUCAAUUUUACGACACUUUGAUCAUCAUGUAAAUAAUUUUUAAAAUUUAUGAAAUUUAGUUUUUAGAUAUUUCAAAUACUCUAGAUCAACUUUAACGGCUCCGAUCAUCGAUUCAGAAUCUCUAUCAUCAAAAACAAUUUGAUAAGACAAGUGUUACUAUCCUGUUAAUAGGAUAGUAGCCUUAGCCUAUAUAUAUAUAUAUAUAUAUAUAAUGCAAAAUUGGGAUUGACAAGGGCCUACAUAUUUGUACCCUUUGAUCUAGUAGAAUAUUGUAUAUAAUAUUAGAAAAUUUGAAGCUUCUACCGUAAUGAAAAGCUAAAUAUGUUUUGCAGGCUAAGAAAAAAACUUCAAUUUAAUUAGUCCUUCUAAACAUGAUCGUUUGUUAUUGAAGGCUAUCUAAUGCCACUAAGCCGUAACUUUAAGACAAAACUAUAUAUAUAACAAUAUACUUAAUCAUUUUUUUAUGACACUAAAAAGAAUUCUAUCUUAAUAAGCAAGUGCAAUCUCUGAGACUAAUUAUUAGUUACAAAACAGGUAAAAUAUUUUUUUACUAUACUUUUUAGUGGCAUGCUGUGUAUUUACUCUUUUUGAAAAGCCCAAAAUAUAUUUGGAUAAUAAUAAAAUAUUUUUCUAACAUAAUUAAUUUGGAUGAGGACAAUGAUAACGUAAGUUUUUUUUUUUGAGAGAGAGAUAGGUAGCACGCUAGCCAUUUCGUUUAUUUUAUUUAAAAAUAAAUUUAGUUGAAAAUAUGAAUAAAUUAAAAUUUAAAUUUGAAAUUUUGAAUAUCAAUCAUUAAAUUUUUUGUCACUUAUUUUAGGGACGGGCUAGUUGUAAUAUUCUGGUCUGGUCCGAGUCCUCGCUCUCGUCAUGCUUCCGACCGUCGAGCCUAACGUUGACCUCCGUCGGUCGCGUCCGCACCGCGAAAGUGGAAAAGCGGCUGACCUAAACGCGCGUUUUCUCCACCCGUCAACUCUAACGGCGGUGCACAAAAAAAAAAAAAAAAAAAAAAAAACGCGUGCUCAAAAUUUCGAUUAAACAAAAGCUGAUGUGGCAGCCUACGUGGCAGGCACUAGGCGAUUGUGAGUGGCAAUCAAUCAAUUUUGUCACACCCCGACGCGCUUGUGCACUUUUAAAGGUAAUUUUUAACUUGUACUAUUUGUGAUGUAGAUGUUUCGUACAAUAGGCUGUGUGUUAUACUUACUUGGUUGUCAUUUCAAUAAAAAGAUUAUUAAUUUUUCUUUAUUUACUUACAGUUAAUUUUAAAAACACAAGGUAACACUGAAUUAAAAUUAAAAUUUCGUUUGAAAUUACGGAGAGAUUACGUUAUAUGCGGUGAGAAAGUAUGAUGAAAAUAUUUUAUUUGUUUCCGUACGUAAUAUUGUGUUCCGCAUAUCGUGAUUAAUCGAUUACGAUAUAUUUUCUGUGGUCCCAUCGGAGAACGCAGAAUUCUUAUAUAUUUUUGCUCCAAUUCUAUUUUAUCUAAUAGCGUUAGAUAGAUCUUAAUACCAAACUAAACCUAUGUAGUAUGAAUCUGUAAAAAAAAAAAUUAUGUUUAUAUAUAUUUCCGGGCUUUUCGUUUUGUGAGGUGGUGAAUUCGAUCAUCACCUACAAUAUUUAAUAAUACUUCAUCUUAUCUCUAUCAAUUAUAUAUGUAUUUUAUAUUUAUUAUGUACAUUGGUAGAAAUAUUAAUAAAUGUACUUUUAGGCAACAAACUCAAAACUCUAAAGCGUGAGUAAUCGAGGCAUCUAAAUUUUUUAAGAGAAUGAAAGCUGGACGCACAAUCUUAAAAUAUUUAAAUCUGAAAGAUUUAAAAACAAAAGAAAAUUUUCAAUCAUAACAACAACGCAAAUUCUUUUACCACAUGAGUCACCAAAACUCACAAUGAUCCGAACCUAAUGAUCCUAGCUAGAACUUGUAAGAACGCAACAUGAUUCGGAUUCGAACCCAAUCCGAACCCAAAAAAAUAAGCUCAACAAAGUACUCCUCCCACGUCCAAUCGGAUGGUGGAAAUGAUAUUCAUCAAAAAAAAAAAAAAAAGAAAAAAAAGAAAAAAAGAGAAGAAGAAGAUGAUGAUGAUGAUGAGGCUGAUGGGUUGAUCAACGGCUACCAUUGAAUCUGCAAAGAGAAUCAAACCACUCUGCUGCCAUGUUAUGUUACGAAUCCAUCCAAUUUCGGUGACUCCUCGCCGCGUACACGUACACAUCGACAUUAAUUCCUAUUCGUAUUCUCCUUUUCGUAUUCAUAUCUCUGAUUGAUACGACGCAAAUGGAAUCGGUUAAAAUGACUCUCCUGAUGUGUCCAUGUACUUAGCCGUUCUUUUAUCAAGUGCAUGUGGAGUUAAUGGGUGCUCUCACCCCCCUAUAGCCCUAUGUCUAAGAGACACAUGAUAUAUAUAGAAAAGUUCUAUACAAUAUAGAAACGGUUCAGAAAUAAUUUUUUUUGAUAGAAUAUUCGCUAAUCUCUUAAAAUUUAAUUUUAAUUUUUAAAAUCAUAUUUUUGAUUUUGGAGGUUAAUUUCAAAAUUGGAAUCAGUUAAAAUUUAUUUUGAAUUCACAAUUUAAAUUCACAUUCUAAAUUCUAAUUCAAGUUUAAAUUCAAAUGUAUUUUUAAAAUAAGGUCAAUAAAAAAAUAUUAUGCGCAAGUAGCAAAAAAAAAAUUACAAAACAACUUUCUAAAAGCGCCUAAAAAAAAAUCACAUUUUUUUGUGAAAUGCAUGCAAAUAUCCUACAAUUUUGAACCAAAAACAAUUCUCCAAACCUUAUAGAGGUCUAGAGAUAUAUAUAGCUUUUAACCAAAAAUAAUUCUUUAAGCCAAAAUUAAUUUUAUAAAAUUCACUUUUCCGACAGUUAACCAAACAUGCUCUUAAUGAUAUACGUGCAUCACUCACAUGCGUAAUGCAGAUCAACCACAUCACGUGUACUAAUAGAAUAAUAAGUGAUAGAUUAUAGCUUAGACAAUAAGCAAAAAUAAAUAUAUAUACACCAUUAAAUGGCAGAUGCAUGUGAAAGAUAAACCAAAACCUCUUGGAGGAGAAGUUCUGAGAAUCGACUUUUAAACCAUUUUACUUGUAAAAAGUAAAUCUCAUAGCUAGUAAAUGAUUCGGGAAUAGCCUUUAAAUAAUAGGGCAUAAAAUUGUGAAUGAGGAAUAUAAAGAAAUGGAGCUUUCUUGAAUGAGAUAACAAGCUAGUUAUAUAUAUAUAUGUAUAAUAUUUCUAGACCUUUCUAUAGAUAGAAAAGGGCAUCUCAUUGUUGUCCAAGCAAUGUGUUUUCUCUCUAAUAUAAAAAAAGAAAAUGGUCCCCAAGUAAUUAAAUAUAUUGAUCUAACUAAGAUAUUGGAUUAGCCGUAUAGAGGUUAGGUUAGUACUUCCUUACUUUGAGGGCCAACAAAUUAAGGAGCCUUGUUGAUCAAUCUAAGCAUUGAAAUAUUGAAAUGUUUUCAAUGAUUCUUAACCAACUAUACCGAGAUUAAUGGCUUUUCUGAUUCAAAAUCUUAUUUCAGCUUUUCAUUUCAUAUUAUGAAAGUCGGGUCAGCGAGAUUUUUAAAUCCUAAUAAUCAACACAAGAAAUAUUAAAAGCCACAUACCACGAAAACUAAUGAAUAGGGAGUUGGUAUUAACAAAGUUGAUUUUAAUUAGUAUUCCCUAAUUUAUUAAUUCAAUUUGUAAACGCUUAUUAUGUCAUAGAAAGCUAAUCAAUAAAACUAUUGGCUUUAGCAUGAGAAUAAGUUAUGAAAACCAUUUUAUUAUUUAUAUAGCAAAUACACUAAAAUAUACUAAAGUUAGCUUAAUAAGUACAAAUUAUUAUAAAAGUUCUUAUAUUUUCUACAAAAUUAAUUAACUAGUUUCACACAUCAUAACCAGAUUAAUGAUCAUAAAUCAUGCCAAUCUUAUCUAUCAUCAAUUUAGCUUCAAAAUGGUCUAUCUACAUCUGGCUUGAUAUGAGAUUCCUCUACUUCUGCUCAAUUUAUUUAGGUAAUGUUGGCGUAUUAUCAAGUUUGAAAUUGGAGAUUAGGUUAUCAUUCUACUACUUGAGAAAGAAUGUAAUAGAGCUAGAACACUAUUAAUAGUAGAGGAAUAUUGUUUACAUCUAAUUUUGUAGCCUUAAGAUUCCAAGGGUUAACUGUUUGACGAGGUUAUACUAGUAUUGAUCCAAGAGCCAGAAAGUUGGUGUAAAUAUUAUUUCUUUACUAUCGGUAGUAUUUUAAUUAAACUCUAUUUAUCUUAUAACUUUCGGCAAUACUUUUUUUUUAAGGACCCACCAUAUAUAUUUAGUUUAAUAUUUAAGUAUCAUAAAAGUGUUUUGUGUGCUUAAUUAUCUAAAUAUUCGAAUCCAUUACAUAACAUGCUUGCAUGAUAAAUCCUACAAAUUUGGAUGUAGUAAUCCACUUCCAACACCUUUGAAGGGAACAAUAAAAUUACUUUUACACCAAACUAUCAAAAACAAAUUUUGCUCUUUUUUCAGCCCUUCUUUGAUGACAAAUGUCCCUCCCUAAUUAAUGCACAUAAAUCACCAAACUUUUUUGCCUUAGGAUCAACACUACUUCCCACAAAAAAUUAUUUCCUAGACCUGGCCCACUGCAUCAAUCAUUGACCAUAUACUGAUAUAGUGCUCUUUAUUCCAUCUUAAUUUGCUUUAAGAUUUUAUCCCUUUUUUUUGAUGAGUUUGAAUUUUAUUUUCUGCAAGGAACUUAAUCAAAUGAGAUUGACUGUGCUAUAAGAUGGAGGGUGGGAAUUGUAAUCUAUCUAGACAUUACCAGAUAAAGCGAUAAGAAACGAUCGAGAGAGAACUUGUUCAAAUCAAUAGGAACAUGAUGUAACAUGCCUAUCAAAUAUGUUCACCUUUUUUCGUUCGCAUGUUAAGUUGAGUUAUAAGCAUCUAAACCAAUCUCCAACUAUUCCGACUAAAAAAUUCAAUAAAAUCGAACAUGAACACAAUCUUCUAACAUACGGGGCCAGGCAACAAUUUUUUUUUUUUUUUUUUUUUAGAAAAAAAACUUAACUGAAAAUGUGAAUCAACUAAGAUUCGAAUUUGGGAUCUCGGAUACCAACCACAAAGUCCUUUGCCACUUGCGUUAGGGACGGUCGGUGCCGGACAACAAUUUCUCCCUCUCGAGAGAAGGGAGAUAUAUAAAGUUAACAUGUUACGACAAACGCACAAACGGAAACGAAAUGACGAACACAAAAACAAUCAAACCACAAGCAGAAAAAUAAAAAAAUACAGAUUUACGUGGAAAACCCUUUGCAGGGAAAAACCACGGGCGAGGGAGGAGAGAUCUUCACUACGGGCUCGGGCCUGUCGGCCCGAGCCCUACGCUACCCACCACAGACAUUCAUUUUUCCUCCAUAAUUUUUUUUUUCAAAUUGGUCGCACCGCGAAGCUGUCGGCGAGUCGUAAACCCGAACCUGAAUCGAUAGUAGAUUUCGGGUCACAUCUAACAGUUAACAUUGGUGUGUUUUUAUUUUUUAUAAUUUUCUUUUUGUUUCACUUUUAUUUUUCAUUUAUAUUUUUAUAAAAGAAAAAUCUAUACGGCACAGAUAGGCGCCACGUGGGAGAGUCUGUUCACGUGGCGCCUAUCGGAGCCCGGGGCUCCAACAAGGCUCCCACGCGGCGCCCUACUGGAGCCCGGGGCUACAACAAUUUGCUGGAGCUCCGGGCUCUAGGAAAUUGUUUUUCCCUCCACCACCACCCUCUCCCACUCCCUCUCCCUCUCCCUCUCACUCUAUAAGUAGUCCACCACUCCCCAUCUUGUUCCUCAAACCUUCAAGUUCCCUCUUCUUGUAUGAUCUUCUCCAGUAUAUUGUAAUAUAAUAAAAUAAUAGUAUAAGCUCCCUCUCCUUCAAAAAAGAAAUUAAUGGGUGGAAGCUCUAACAGAGUAGAGAGCUUCCCAGAUGCUCUAGACCUUGAAUCAGCUUCUCCAGUGGAGAAAAGCCCUUCAACUCCACAGCCCUUGGAGAUCCAUAAGGUCCCUUUGCCUCAGAAAAAGACCACUUUUCAAUCCCUGAAGCAGAGGCUCAGUGAAGUGUUCUUCCCUGAUGAUCCCCUCCACCAGUUCAAGAACCAACCUCUGCUCAAAAAGCUGAUUCUGGGACUUCAGUAUUUCUUCCCAAUAUUUCACUGGGGUUCUGAGUACAGCCUGCAGCUUCUUAAGUCUGAUGCAGUCUCAGGCCUCACCAUUGCCAGCUUGGCCAUUCCACAAGUAUGCGUGAAGCUGCCACCUUUUCAUUCAACUUUUUUUUUUUUUUUUUGGUUUUCAAAUCUCAAUUUGUUGUAAUUUUUAGCUCGAAUUUAGUUCACUAAAUACUAACGUAUUAUUAAUGUAGAAGUGAUGUGACAUCUUAAUCAUUACUGUCACCAAUCGCAACACUGUCGCAUCACUUUCUACAUUAAAGACGUAUCAAUAUAUAAACAACUAAAUUAAAUCGUGAAACUUUACUAUAAUAAUUCAGAAAGUACGAACUAUUUUUUUUGUAUAAUAUUUCUUUCACAUGUCAUUAUUGAAAAUGUAGUUUCUGACAAAAAUACCCUAAUUGGCUUCGUAUGAAAAUUUGCAGGGGCCUAAAUAUAUAAAUAACUUGUCACUACAAGUAUUUGUGGGGUAUUUGAUCUUUGCAAAUAGUUGCACAAGAAUAAGAAGUUGGUUUGUUUAAGCUAGCUUGCUAAGUGUUUUCUUUCCUUCUUUACUGAUGUUCUCACUUGAGAUGAAUGAAUAUUUGAUACAAAGCAAUACCAUCUGCAGCUGUCUUAUUACAUUUUUUUUUUUUUUUAACAGGGGAUCAGCUAUGCAAAGCUUGCAAAUUUGCCUCCCAUUAUUGGCUUAUGUGAGUAAAUUAAUAUUGUUAUUCUUUUCUAGAAACUAUUACUUCGAACACUAGAGCUUAUGCUAGACUGUUGUUCGAGUUGAGAUAUUCAAGAAAUGCAAUACAGACAGAAGUUUCAAAUUAAAGUUUCUGUUUUUGAGGCACAGAAAGCUCAAUUCAACUGCUUUGAUGAAUUAAGCUCAUUCUCCUGAUCUCAUGAAAUCGAUUCGGUUCGGUUUGGUUCGACAGAUUCGAGCUUUGUGCCGCCAUUGAUCUACUCAGUUCUUGGGAGCUCAAGAGAUCUAGCAGUUGGUCCAGUGUCAAUUGCAUCACUAGUGAUGGGCUCCAUGCUAAGAGAGAUGGUCUCACCUGAUCACCAGCCUAUGCUCUAUCUCCAACUUGCAUUCACAUCCACCUUUUUUGCUGGUGUUUUCCAAGCCUCAUUAGGCUUCCUUAGGUAACUGAUUCUAUGCUUACACUUUAACUUAUUCUAAGCCCACUCUCUCACCAAAUAAGUUCUUUCCUUGAUGCACAUUUCAGUUAUUUGUUAAUCAUGCAUUUUUGUGUUAGUUGGAAUAUAUAUAUCCCCACUAACAUGAGAAUAAUUAACUUUUUAUCUCGUCACCAACCAUAACUAAGGCAGUUGAUUAAAAACUUGAUGAUUGGUGCAUGAGGCUCCAAGUUCGAAACCUACUUACUUCACAUUUCUAAUAAAAAGGAAAAGAAAUGAACAAAACGGGUAUAUUUCUUUUCUUGUCGAUUCUGAUGUGCUUUACGUCGAUUCAGGCUGGGUUUCAUCGUAGAUUUUCUAUCGAAACCGACGCUGGUCGGAUUCAUGGGCGGCGCGGCAGUUAUUGUAUCUCUUCAACAGUUGAAGGGCUUGCUUGGCAUAGUUCACUUCACUACUAAGAUGGGCUUCAUUCCUGUGAUGGUAUCAGUUUUUGAACAUAGAAAAGAAGUAAGCAAAACCCUAGAAAUAUACAAAAUGAUAUCUUAUUCUCUUAUAAAUUAAUUGUAUCUUCAUAUUUCUUCUUAUAUUAAUGCAGUGGGCUUGGCAAACUAUUCUUAUGGGGACCUCAUUCUUGGUUUUCUUAUUGAUUACAAGGCAUAUAGUAAGCUCCUGCAGAUCUUUUUAUCCUUUUUGAUCUUGUGUAGCUUUUGAUUUAAUAAAAAGUAAUUAGGGUGGUAAUUGAAACCCUAGGGGUGCUUUAUAUAUAUGUUCUUUUGGUGGACCCUAAGUUGCGUGCCACUUAAAAAAGGAAUUCAAGUCCACUGAAGUAUUACUGGUUAAUAGAAGAUGAUUAACCUUAACCUCCCAUUUUGGUGGGUCCAUUAGCCAUAAUAGAGUGGGAAAUUAGUACUAUUAAAUAAAGAGGAUUUUGCAAAAGCUGGCCUCAAGAUUUUUAAAAUUACCCAAUUAAAUCACUUUUGUUUUUAACAAAAGGAGCAUAUUUUGUUUCUUGUGGACUAUGGCCUUAGGUAGAAUAAAUUCUCCAUAUAAAAAAGCAGCACUCAGGAAGCUAAAAUUAAUUUCUGUGCAAUCUGAAAAUUUUUUAAAAUUUCUUUUACAAUAUUCAAAUUAAAAAACCCACUAGAUGGGCCAGGCCAUAUCAGGCCCAUUAAAACCAAGGUGUGAAUUUCAAAUCGAACUAUGAAGUAGCCCAAUAGCCCCUUAUAGACUACAAGGCCCAAUGAUAUUAUUAGGCCCACUAAUCGAUUCGGCCCGACCCAUAUCUGAUGUUAAAUUUUAGGAAAAUAAAGCAUACUAAAAUUCAUUCUACUUUUUAAUUGCUAUAAUUUUUUUUUUUCUAAUUUUUUGUUUAUUUAGAGUAUAAUAGUGAAUUUACUACAUGAUUCAGAGCAUGAGGAAGCCAAAGCUUUUCUGGGUAUCAGCAGCAGCUCCUUUAGCUUCUGUGAUCCUCUCCACCACCAUUUCCUUUAUAGUUAAAGCUCAAUACCAUGGAAUCAGUGUAGUAAGUACUUUUCUCCUUUCUUUCUCCUCUCUGUUUUUUAAUGUGCCUUUUUUUCUUAAUUAAUAUUUAAUUUGGUCAAUUUGUAAUCAAGUAUAGAAUAUAUUUCUAAUUGUUUUUAAGUUCUGCUGUGACAGAUUGGGCAUCUGCAAAAAGGAGUGAACCCUCCCUCAGUCAACAUGCUGUUUUUCCAGGGCUCUUUUCUGGGCCUUGCUAUUAAGACAGGAAUUGUCACAGGCAUCUUAGCACUCACUGUAAGGAGACAUAUUCUCUAGACUCAGCACUUUUCUCUUUUUAAGAGCUCUCUCAAGCUAAUGAUAUGACCAAGUGAGAGAAACCUGCUAUGUUCUCUGUAUGCCUGCUUGCUUGGCAUCAAUAAGCAGAAAAAAAAAAUUUAAAAAUUUUGGCUGUCGCGUGAAGCUGAAGAAAAAGUUUAUUAAUCUUAAAUCUUUAUCGUACGUCCAAUUUAAAGCUUCUGCUUCUGAUAAAAGCUAGAUGAAGUUAGUAGUGCUUCCUCAUGCAGCUUUAUCAAACAACACUUCUAUAAAACUUCCUAGUAUGUUGAAAGAUGUACAUUGGGCUUCCCCACGCAGUUUUUUUUAAUAAAAAUUCGAUUACAGGAAGGAAUAGCUGUAGGAAGAACAUUUGCUUCUCUAAAGAACUACCAAAUUGAUGGAAACAAAGAGAUGAUGGCUAUAGGAAUCAUGAACAUGGCUGGGUCUUGUGCUUCAUGCUAUGUUACCACAGGUAAUGCAUAUAAAUAUGUAACUUCGUUUUCCGACAGUAUCCUUAUUUUAUAAUUCUGAUUUUAUCACUGACGAAUUUAUUUUCUUCUUUUUAGGAUCGUUUUCUCGGUCGGCGGUGAACUACAAUGCGGGGUCGAAGACUGCAGUGUCUAACAUAGUGAUGGCGUCUGCCGUCCUCAUCACGAUGCUGUUCCUCAUGCCACUGUUUUAUCACACCCCGAACGUGAUCCUAUCGGCGAUCAUUAUCACCGCGGUGAUCGGUCUCAUCGAUUUCCGUGGGGCUGCGCGGCUGUGGAAGGUCGACAAGCUCGACUUCCUCGCCUGCGUGAGUGCAUUCUUUGGCGUUCUCUUCAUCUCGGUGCAGAUGGGCCUAGCAAUAGCAGUAAGCACUCUCAAUAUAUAUAUAAAUUACAUCUUAAACCCGAAAAAAAAGAAAAGAAAGAUAGUCUAGGAAUAGUCUCAGACAAACCUCUCUAGCAACUGAUAAUUGUAUUAAAAACCUCUAGAGUUGUAAAGUACCAUAAAUGUCAUUGUACUCAUAUUGAAGCACCUGAAAAAAUAUAUGUAUGCUUGUGAUUUUCAUCAAACUAUUGAUGGUAUAUAUGAUAUUUUUGAAUUUCUGAGAGGUAUAUGAUGAGAUUGCGCUAUUUAUUGGCGAGAGAAAAAGGAAAAUGAAGCAACUGUGAAUUAAACAUAAUUGUGUGAUUAACAUUAUACUUUUUAAAUUUUUCUGCAGGUGGGUAUCUCCAUGUUGAAAAUUUUAAUACAUGUGACAAGGCCAAACACAGUGAUUAAGGGGAUAAUCCCAGGGACCCAAAACUAUAGAAACAUAGGGCAUUACAGAGAGGCCAUGAGGGUUCCUUCUGUCCUGAUUCUGGGCAUUGAGUCCCCCAUCUACUUUGCCAAUUCCAUGUAUCUUCAAGAGAGGUGGGUCUCUUUAUAAUGAAGGUCUUGUUAUUACCUUUUUUUUUUCUGUUCCUUUUUUUUUUUCAAGAAACUACAGGUACUUGUUAGGCAAAAAGAACGAUUUCAUAUUAAGUUAUAUAUAGUAGCUGAUUUUUCAAAGAUAUAUUGCGCUAAAAUUUUAAUCACUAUUUUCUUAACUAUAAGCAGGAUAUUGAGAUGGGUGAGAGAGGAAGAAGAGUGGGCCCUGAAGAUGAACCAGAGCUCCAUCAAAUGUGUUGUUUUGGACAUGGGUGGUAAGUGACUACUAUAUAUCAAUAAAAUUUACAACAUUUACGUAGAUUUCGCCUAUAAUCAAUGCCAAACUAAGCUAAUAACAAGGAUUUCAAUCCCACAGCCGUAACGUCGAUCGACACGAGCGGCAUGGACGCACUCACGGAGCUAAAGAAGGCCCUUGACAAAAGAUCUCUCGAGGUACCUGGAAAAAGAAAACUUAAUUUCGAGAUCACGGAUAUGUGUUAGCUAGAGUAAUGCAGAAUAAAUGACACGAUUAUUUGUUUGAUUUGUGCAGUUUGUGCUAGCAAAUCCUGUUGGAAACGUACUCGAAAAGCUCUCUCAAUCAGAGACGUUGGAGAAACUCGGAUCGGAUCGAAUAUACAUGACUGUGGGAGAAGCCGUUUCUGCAGUUUCCUCCACAUACAAAGUCCAGGUGUAGAAAACCAACUAGUGUUGCUCGUCUAACAAUAAAUUUUAACCAAAGCGGAAAAAGAGCUUCUGAGAGAAGCUAGAAGAGUAACAUAGAGGAUUUGUCGCUUAAUAUCUAUAGUCAAGUUACACAGAAAAUUUAUGCAGUUUCCUUUGUAGUUGAGCUCUUCUAAGAAGAGAUUUUUGAUAAAGGAGGAUUAUAGAUAAAAAGAUGCUUUGUAGCCCUUAAGGCAAUGUUAGUUGUUGCUACUUUUCUUAGCGAAGUGUACAAUAAAUUCUCCUUCAACACAUUGUUUUUAAUUUCUUGCUUCAUAGAGAUUUACUUGCUUUGUUUCUACAUCUAUAAUUCAAAUGUCACAACUAUACUCUACUUGCUUGUUUCUACAUCGAUAAUUCAAAUUUCACAACUAUACUCUCCUGCGUAGAAAGUAAUGUUAAAACAUAUAGCUAUCUCUUCCCUCUUAUUUUUCUUUUUUAUUUUUUAUUGGAUCCUCUAUUAUCAUCACAGCAGAAUACGUUAAGCAGCCUUUCCCUACUCGAAAUUCUCUUCUAAAUUUUUCAUACGCAUAUAUCUAAUAACUACAAAGAUCAUCUAAGUAGAACACAAAAUUUACGACCCACUAACACCACCACGAUAUAAAGGAAAACAUACAAGCAAGCACCAACUGGAGAAAUAUAAUCAAUUAGCGAACACACUUAACAGAGGUCAACAUGUUAUUCUAAAAAAUUGUAGGCGCACAAGAGUAGAUGUUCCAAAAGAGUUUGAAGCUUUUACUGUUUAUAUGGGAAAGCCCUCAAGCAUACAUAAGCCAAUAGGCGAAACUGAAAAAACAAGGAGGCAGCAAACAACAUAGAUUGCGACGACGAAGUAACAUUAUUCAUGAGUAGAUGCAUUAGAUUUAAUCAAUUACACUACAAAACAACGAACAGCAUGCACUCAAAACAAACUUUAACUCAGUUCAAUACAAUUUCUAAAUUAUCAAGCAAAAUCCUGAGUAACAAAUUUUAUCAGCCCAAAGAGGCAUCAAAAGCGCACAGAACAAUUUGCCACCAAGGCCAACUUCAUCAGCUUUCCAAGAUCACAAUAAAAAUGGACCGUUCAUCACAUAGCCUUCACAAGUAGCUCCCAAUCGGGAGAGUGAACCAUAAAAACGAACCAAGUUGUUUCCACCUAAUCUUUGCCCCAACCAAAACUAAGGCUGUUCCACACCCUACUGCAUACAUUUUUAUCCUAUAAUUUCUUUCAAAAGAUGAAGAAAGAGUGAGAAGUUCAAAUCAAAACAUACAAGCCCAGGAGGUAAAAUUCCUUUUUUUUCUCUUAACUUCCACUCCAUGCAGAGAAUUGACCUUGAUAACUAAAUUGACUAUUUUUUCGCGCGAAGAUUAAGACAGAAUUACUUUAGCAAACUGUAAAGGGGAAAUAAAAAGAAAGAAAAAAAAAAGACACUUCGGCGAGAGAUUUUGCUGCGCUAUGCUGUGGAGGGAUUGUUGGUGGUAGAUCCCUCGGGUUUGUCGGUCUCCAUUGGCUCGCCAGCUGGCGGGGCUUGGCCGCCUGUCUCGCUGGCCGCACUGUCUCCUUGAGGCGGCUGCUGCUUACUUUCCUGAGGUUGAGCUGCGGGUGGUGCAUCCGAUGGAGGUGGCGUCUGCGGCUUGGCCGGAGGGGGACGUGGCUUUGUCAUUAUCGGCCUGCAAAACCUGUUGAAAACACAAUGGAUUUAGAACUAGUUUAUAGGGGUAGUGCUUGCCAUUUGGAUUAUGAAUCUAUUUAAUUUUGCAUCAAUAUAAAUAUUUUAGUUACUGUUCGAUUGACAAAUUUUCUUGUGAUUUACAAUGGUGGUCCGUUCGGUUCCUCAUUGAAUGCUUUUUGAAUUUUGGUAGAAAAUCGUUUUUCAUAUUUCACGAAAACACUUGUUAACACUUAACGCCUAUUUUCAUUCUCUCCCCCGUGGAGACCAAAAAUGAAACGAAAAUUCUAGCAAACCAAACACAACACCCAAAGACAUUUUACUUUAUGCGAAACCAACUUGAAAAGGAGAAUCCACACUAAGUUAGCUUUUGUUUGGUCCUAUUCUGGUGUGGUUUGCUCUUAUGCAGUACUUUGGCUCAGUCACUUUGUUUAUCAAAAUAUAGAACUAAGGGCUUCUGUUGUCACCAACAAAUUAUAAAACCAUAACAAAAGCAUAGUAGAUCGUACUAAAAAGCACCAAAAUAUGACAAAAACCAUAUCUGCAAUUGUAAUAUGACAAAAUGAAAUUCUCUCUACUUAAUAUAUGAUUAACCAACAAAUAUUACAAAAACAUUUCUCAUGGAUUUGAUGGUCAAUUCAUAAAUUUAAUUAUUUUCAUUACCUGUCAAGUGUUUCGGCUUUCCUCUUCACAUCAGCAGAUCGAAGAAUUGGAGUGGCGUGCUUAGGCAGAGCAUCCUGCUGCUGGUUCUUCUCUCUCAACCAAGCUUCGGCCUCAGAGCACUCAUUGAUGACCUAUAAGUGAAUAUAUAGUUUAAUAGGGGAGUUUACAUAAAAUAUCUGAAAAGAAUAAGAUGGAGAGGCAUUAAUGAAUAUACACUUAAACAGAGUACCUUCUGCUUCUCCUCUAUGUCGAUGUGCUCAAAUUUGGGAUCUUUAGACAGGGCCGCCUCCCUGAAGCUAUUAAUACAAUAAGCGAGUUGGUCUAUGGCCGGGCCCCUCUCUGUCCACUCUUUAUGGCGAUCUUCAAUAGGGUCACCUUGCUGCACUUUGAAAUCCUAGUUAGCUAUAUAUCCACUUAUAGGGCAAAGCCAAUAAGGGGCCAGUGCAAACAAGUGAAACUGAGUAAUAUGCCAGAAGUUGGUAUUUGCAUGUGCCCCACAAAAACUGUAUUUAUUCACAUUCAGGGCCCUGCCAGAUUUUUUUUCUUUUUCUUUUUCUUUUUUUUUUUAGCAUAUUGCCUUGGCACAUACUAAUGAGCAAGGUUUUCGCAGGCACAUAUGAAAGUACCAACUUUGCACAAGAAUGAGCAAUUUCACAUAUUUAUAGGGGUAUAUAUGCCCAAGGAAACCCAAAAGACUGUAGCACAGAUAGCGAAACUGUACCUUUUUGAGUUCCUCAAGCUUGGCAACAUAAACACCCUUUGUUUCAUCCUCUCCAUCUUCAUAGAGCCAAUCCUCAACUUCCUGAAGCUUUGAUAUGAACUGUUCCUUCUCCGGUGCUGUCACGAAAUCGUUGUACUUGUCAUAAAGCUAACACAAAACAAGAAAAUACCCAGAUCAGAUCAAGUUCAAUGCUAUAGUACAGGGUAAAAUAGGUGAAAUAACUAAAUAAUAAAGAGACCUAUACAUAUAUAACCAUGUGAGGUUAUCAAGUUACGCAUACAUCCUGCACGUACUUAAUUGGCAAGUGCUCCUCUUUAAAUUUCCUUUUUUCUUAAUCAAAAACCAGCUUUCAGAUGGCACAUACGAAAAUCCAGAGUUUUACAGGGCCAUAUGUGAAGAGAAAUAAUUAUGCACGUAUAUAUACAUAUACAUGUUUAAAAGUCCCCAUUUAAUAAAGGGUUCAGAAAUGAAUGGCACCUUAUUUCGCAUAUCAUAAACAUAAGCCUCCACAGCAUUCUUCUUGUCCUUGGUCUCUUCCAUUACUCGAUCUUGAAGGGCCAUUUCAAAUUCCUUUUCCACGGCCUUUUGAACAUCUUCAGCAGCCAUUCCACCAUAAACUAUUUCAGAUAUAGGCACAUUUGUUUUCCUUACCUUCUUCUUUGGAAGCUCAACCUGCACGACAAAUAAAAUCAUCAGUAACGGUGCUUGUUUUCAUGAGAAAUAUUUGGAUUGCAAUAUUUAUCUUUACACAAAAACUCUUCAUCAAUAACUAUAAACUCCUUCCCAGCUUUUCAAACAUCAGAUUACAGAGAAGUGAUAAGCCAACUAAAACCUACAUAUACUCGCAUACGUAGAGGUGCAACAUACCUUUUCACAUAUAUACUCCUGCAAAAUCCGAAUUUCUCAAUAUACCCUUCCAAAACUCUAUUUCUUACAUGUACACUUCUAUACUUGCAGAAAGCGACCUUCUUUGAAAACAACUCACCCGCAUUACUUCUUUUUUAUUAUUAUAUUGUUUUCUUUUUUUUGAGGGGGAGGUUUACAAACUCCAUUUCUGAGGUCAUAAAUAAAAAUUCAAAACUUCAAAGGGUAAGUAUGUAAACAGAUCAUUUUGCAGGAGUACAUAAUAAUGACCCCUAACCUACAACAGCAAUGACAAGCAGAGGUAUCGAUGAACACACCUUGGCAUCAGUUUCCAUUCGCGCAGGCUUUUCUUCAGGAUCCGCUGCACCAUUUUCUGUCCCGUUAGCACUAUCAUCUGGAAUACUCUUAUCUUCCUGCAUGUUUAUGUCAGUCCCUGCAGUAGAGUCUUGAGGUGUAUCAUCAGUAUCCAUUUUUGUAGCUUCCUUUGGCUGGUCAUUCACAGCUGAUACUGGAACUUCAACUUCCUCUUCCAGCAUCUGUAAAAACCCAAAAAUAAAAAAUAUAUAAAAUAAAAUAAAACAUUCAGAGCACUCAUUCAAGGACGCAAGUGCUGGACUAUCUAAUUUCACCUACUUAUAUAAUAUCCUACCUGCAAACUGUCAAGCUGAUUAUUUGUAUACCCAUAAACUCAGAAUUUCCCAUAUAUUCAAAAACUUAAUUUCUGAUAUGUAUAUGGUACACGCAUUAACUUUCAGAAGUAUUCCUCUUUGAAAAAAAAAAUUCAUAUACAAAACUACCUCCAACUCUAGCAGAACAAGGGACAAAGGUAUAAAUGAAACUUCAGAUUUUACACUUACAUAUACAUGAGAAAAUAAAUAAGCAGGGAUAUACAUGUAACCCAUAGUUUCUGAAAUCCGCACUUACAGUUGCUGACUCGAUAGAAACAAUGCCAUGAAGAUUCAAACGAACUUUGACUUUCAGUUUAGCCUUUCCACCCUUAGAUUGAAAUGGACCAAUCUGUACAGAGUAAACAUGGAAUAAGUAAUCAGCAACUCGAUAACAUAUCAUGGACAUCAAUGUGAUAUAGCAUUAGUGUUCAUACAAAUAGAGGAAAUUCUUGGUGCUUACUGUGUAUGUGCUGAUCUUUAAUGGAUGACCCUCAAGAUCAGCAUACAUGACAUCAACAGAAAAAGUGCUAGACCUAUAGAAUGUAAGGGCUUUGACACUAGGAAUUGGAUUCCAUUUGGGGAAUACAACUGUACUCUGCUGGUUCUCCGUUGCUCCACUCUGAGAAUCUGGGGCAGAUCCUUUCCACGAUAAGGCAAUUGGGAAAGGAAAGCUAUCUAGGACCUGCAAAAUACAGGGGGAAAAAGAUUAUAAUAAUAAACAAAGAAGAAAGGUAGUUCACAAUACUUUGAUAUAGUGAUAUAGAUAUAUCACUAUGCAAUAUCAUCUUAAUUUUAAUCUAUGCCACAAUAAAAAUAUGAAUUCAAUAUUGUCCUUCACAUCUCUAUUUAUAACAUAUAUACCCUUAUACUUUGUUCUUACAACAUUUUCUCUCCCUAAAAAGACGUUCUAAUAUAAAACCAAUUACCUGCACACACUGGAUGAUUCCCAAAUUAAGAUAAGGUUAUUUUCACGAACUACAAUGGCAUCCAGAUUCUACGGUAUAGACAUGUAAUUAGAUGAUUUUGCAAGGAUCUAUAUGGCAUAUUAAGCAAAACUAUGUCAUGCUAUUAGUCAUAUAGAGGAAACAUAAGAUCCAUGGGCUAGAAAUAGACAUAGAAUGUUUAUGAAGAAAAAUGCCCGAACAAAAUUCUCCAAAUGUUCUAGAGUCUAACAUGCUUCAAAGACGACAGGCACAAAUCAGAAUACUCGACAAUAUCAAAUCCCACUUUACAAGUCAAUGGUGCUUUCCAGAUUAAACACAAAAACAAUGUGUAGCCCUGCACUUUGCAGAUCAAGAACGAAACAAUAUGCUAAUAGGGACAAUCCUCACAAAGGAGAAGGCCAAAUUCAUUCGAUAUUCUUAUUAUCCUUAUCAUUAAGAAGUUAUCAUGAUAAGAGAAAGAAAAGGACUGCGAACCAUACCCAGUGUGUGCAGACAACAAAGAAACCAACAUUUUAUGUUCCAAAUGACAUGGACUUCUUUAAAGUCGUAUUAAAGCAAUAUAACCAAAAGGCCAAAAAUCGAAAAUAUGGAAUGGAAAAGGAACAAAUAUAUAAAACUUAUUAAAUGAUGAAAUGCAGGAGUUCACACCUGGAACUCCCGAACUCUGAAUGUAGGACUAAGCAUGGCACACUGAAGAGCGCAUCCCCUGGCAACACUUUCACUUGCGUUCAUCGUACGCCUUGGCUCUUUUCCGAAGAACUCCGUCAAUAUCUUCAUAAUUGCCGGAACACGUGACCCAGAUCCCACAACCUCCACCGAAUGAACAUCCUGCACACUCAGCCCUGCUUCCUUAAUCGCCCUCUCCAAUGGCCCCUUCACCCUCUCCAAUAUCGGUGCACUUAUCUUCUCAAACUCCUCCCUCUUAAUAAACCCCUUCACAUCCUUCUCGUCCAUCAAGCACUCUAUACUUAGCGGUGCCUCAGGAUUCGCACUCAGCACCUUCUUCAGCUUCUCACAUGCCACGCGGAGCCGCAAACAAGCACGCGCAUUCUGAUACACGUCGAUCUUGUACUGCUCUUUGAACUUGGCCGCAAAAUGCUUAAAAAGGGCCUCAUCAAAAUCGCGCCCGCCAAGUGAUCUAUCAUAUGCAUGAGAGAGGAUCUUAAGCUGACCUUUCUUAAAGGCCGCAAUGCAGACCUGCAUGCUCGCAUGCCCGACAUCGACGAACGCCACAUUCAACUGAUCGUUCUCCGGAAGGUCGGUUUUGUAAAUGCCAUAGGCCAACGCUGUAGCGGUGGUCUCAUGAAACAACCGAAGGGGAUGCAACCCUGCAAUGGUGGCCGCAUCCAUCACAGCCCUCCGUUGGAGGUCGGUGAAGUAAACGGGAAUUCCGAUACAGCAAUCGACGACCGGCGCGCCGAGAUUCUUCUCAGCGAUGCCCUUCAGGUUGGAGAGCACCAUGGCCAAAAUCUGGGUCGGGGUGAAGGCCCUCUGCUCGCCGAGGUACGACACGUGGACCAACGGGAACCCGUCGGGGCCCUCGGUCACCUUGAAGGGUAAAGUUUCUAGGUCGCGCUGGAGCUCGGGAUCGGAGAAUUUUCGCCCUACAAGGCGCUUGAUCUGGGAGAUGGAGUUCUUAGGGUUCAUGGUGGAGGAGGCGGCGCCAGUGGCGCCGAUGAACCGCUGCUUGUCGCCGAAGCACACGACGACGGGGGUCUCGCGCUUCGACUCCUCGUUGAGCACCACGUCGAUCCCGCGCUGGCGCGCCACCGCCACAAUCCCGCUCUCGUUCCCCACAUCGAAUCCCACCACGCUCAUCUUCUCCAAGGUAGCGAAUCACUCCCUCCCACGCUUCAAACAACGAGAUCUGUGCCCAUCAAUGCAUCAAAACAACAAAAAAUGGGAGAAAAUUCAGCUCGAAUGCAUCGAAAACAUAAAUUGAAGCCCGAUUACGACGACAAUAGCAGCGAUGAGAGAUCGAACGACGAUUAUCCACGGUGUUACGCCCGUAGAUCGAUCGAAUUAGAUCAAAAUUUAGCUCUUAAGGAGGCGAAACGAUGAGAUCGAAGAAGAAUAAAGAGGAUUCAUACCCUUUAGAUGCCGCAGAGAUUUGAUCUGCAGGGCAGUUCCCGAACUAUACUUGUGAGAACAGCUCUCUCGAUCGAAUGGGUUCUACCUCCGUCCCUCUCUCUCGAAACGUCUCGGGCUUUUCCGUUUAUGAACAAACAAAGGCGAAGAAGCGAGAAGGGCGGUAGAAAUAGUGCGCCGAGGCUUAUAGCUUUUUCUAGAACCCUCCAUCAAAGUCUGAGGAGAAGUUGUUUCCUGCACCUGGUAUAUAUAUUUCUUACACCAUUCCAUGAAAAUUCUUUCGUAGAGCCUUUGUAACAUUUAAAAAUUACAAAUUGUAUCCCGCGACCCUGGAGUGAGAGACCCUACAAGUCAUUUGAUUUGGCGACAUAAAACCCCUAUUAAAAUAAAAGUUUUCAUCUGAUUACUACUUUGAAAGAGACUUCUAAUUGUUGACUGUCUGCGUAAACGUGGCGUACUAGUGGACUAACAUUUUAUUUUUUUACCCUUUCGAUAUGGAAAAAUGUGACCAUCUUUUUAGUCGCUGUGUAUUUGUUCGAUAUUUAUUUCUUAGUGGAGAAAGCUUGUCCAUUUACACUGAGCCAAUGGAGGAAGUUCAAGGUCUUUGAAAAAUGGUUAUUAAUCUAGCCGACACUGGAAAGAGAACUAAAAGCUUAACCCUCUUGUUGGCUGUCUGGUGGGUAGUCUGGAUUGAGACGAACAAUUUUAUCUUUCACGAGCAAUCCACGGUUCCUUCUCUCUCGCUGAACCGUGUCAAACGUUUGUUAUCCGAGUGAAACAAGCCCUCUACUGUUUACUUACUCUUCUCUCUAGUCUCUUUAUCUUAAGUCCCUUUUCCUUUUUUUUUCCUUGCCUUCUAUUUCACUUCUUUUUUUUUUUUUUUAUUUUUGGUUUUUUUUUUUUUUGUGCUGAAGCUGUGGUUAAAAAUGUGAUCGGAUAUAUGGUCGUAUUCUUGUACUUCUAUAUAUUCACUGUGAAUUAAUGCAUAUAUAUAUCAGUGCUUAAUUAUAACUGUUUAUUUAUUAAAAUUGUUGAUUCUAUUGAUAUAAGCGGGCGAAAUUUGUAGUGCGGUGUAUGAUUUAGGAUUGAGCCGGCCUGCUUGGUUGGUGUUGAGCUCAUUGUAAUGUAUGGGCGUUUUGGUACCUUAAUCUUUAGUUGACUGGUGAGUUGAAUUUUGGCANAGGAUGAUAUAGGAUGUAUUUUUCACGAGCUCUACGAUGAAUAGGGGUGUAAUGUGGGCUGUGCCGGGCCGGCACGGCCCACAUUUUCCGGGCCGAACCGGGCUGGAGAGUGGCCCGGCCCGGCCCGUGGCUAAAUCCGGGCCGGGCCGUGCCGGGCCCGAACUCCCUACCAUCCGGCCCAGUACGGCCCCUGGGCACGGAAGGCACGGGCCGUGCCUGGCCGGGUCGUGCUCCGGGCCGGCUCCUUUUUUUAUUUUUUUAAAAAUGUACAUAUAAUUUAAAAAAAUAUAAACAAUAAAUUAUAUUUAUAUAAACUGAUAUUUUGAUUAAAAAAUUUAAAAUUUAUAAAAAUAAUUACAAAAAAUAAAUAUUUAAAUUUAUUUAAUAUAUUUUUGAAUUCUUUUUUUGAAAAAAAAAAAGUUGAGAAGGGUUUUUGGUCCAAUGGACAAAAUUGCUUUGGUCCAUUGGACCAAAAUCACUCCUCCCAAGGUCUGCUAGGCAGACCUUGGGAGGAGGGCCAAGCCCUCCGCCCAAGGAGAGCAAACCCCAGGGCCAAGGCAACUUUGCCUUGGGCCUGGGUUCCAGGCCGUGCUGGCCCGGCUGGCAUGGCCCAACUGGGGCGUGCCGUGUCGGGCUGCCCGCCUCUCCUUGCCGGGCACGGCCCGCAGCCGUACCAGGCAGGGCGGGCCACGUGCCGCCCGGCCUGUUUUACACCCCUACAAGUGGGGCCCACCUUUUGCGGGUUCCACGUGACAUAUUCACGUAAAAGUAAGACCUUAUAUUUCUGCACCCGGCGUAUAAAUAUAUCUCGCAUCCUUAGAUUGAUUAUACGAUAGGGAUUACGAAAUUAUCGGAUGUGUUUAUAAUAUUAAAAAUCCUAAAGAUUAAAAAAACAUAUAUUUUGAAUUUUAAAAUAUCAAUCACCAAAAAAUGAGCACGGUGCAUUAGCCAUACGAAUACACUGAGUGCAGGCAAUAAUUUCUUGAUUAAGCUAUUUGUUACGGGAUUAAGCGAAUCAUAGCCGUAUACUACUCUGGUUGUAUGGGAAACGGACGGUGGAGAUGGGAUGAUCGGGAGCGGUGGCUGUUCGAGUCGUACGGCCCGUUGUGGAAGGUUCUCGAGGCCUUGGAUAUGAUUCCAGAGGGGUCCAUAUUAAAAUGUAAUUAAUUAAUUAAUUAACUACGAUUAAUUGUAAUAAGAUUAUUAUUUGUGUAAAUGGUGCUUGAUUAAAGAAAUUUGGUAAUUUAGUGCUUUUUGUGUGUGGGCGUGGAUGUUCAUGUUAAACAAAUUUGGAUUUGUUUAACAUAUUCAUGUUAAAUGAUUAUCUCCGUGCAUUAUACUCUAUGUGAGAAGACAAAAGAUACGAACAUCCUCCCAAUGUAACUCAUAUUUAUGUCUCUAAGCUUUAAAACUCGCUAAUUUGAAGACUCAACAAACAUUUUGGUAUGUUCAAAUUAAAAUAAUAAUAAUAAUAGGAUUUGUAGUUAAGCUAUAGAAGUCGUUUAAUUUUUCAAGGAACUUUCUCGUGUCAAAUAAUGGAUUAUUUGGAAAAUUCAAACCCAAAAGUCCAGAAACCUGUUUUCUAAACGACAAAUUAUCAAUGCCUAAUUUUCAGCUAUUUGAAAAUUGGUCCUUUCUCUCUAAAAAAAAAAAACAGAGGUCCUAAACAGAUCCCUUGAUAAGCGUGUUAUUGGGUAUGAAAAAUUAAAUAAGAUUUGAAUGUAAAAGGGGGAAAAAAAAGUUCAUUCUUUUAGAUUUUUCUAAGUUGGAAUGCAAGUUUAUAAUUUGGAUACUAACUAACGAGGAAAUUAAGUUGUGGAAAAUUAAGUUGACUACUAUUUCAAACAAUUCCUGUAUGAUUAUUAAAAUUUUUCUCUUUUUGUUUUUUUAAAAAUUUAUUCAUAGAGUGCAACUUAGUUGAAGAGUUUCUAUCCAAUACAUUACGUAAAAUAGAGUGAAAAAAAGAAUGCCCAAUUAAUACAACAUUAGAAAGAUAUAUUAAUAUGGUUUUUUUUUUUUGCAUGUGGAAUUAAAGUUGUUUAUCGUACCAACAUGUUUACUAAUCAAACUUUACAUCAACGGUGUUCAUAUUUAUUAAAUCAUUGAUACAACAAAUUCACUUGGGUAGAGAACGAAGGAGAUGAAUGAAUAGGCCCCUCAUACGCUACGUUACAAGAGCAAUACACGAGCAAUACAUACACAAUUUCACGUCCAAAUCAAGUAUUGAUAACACUAAUGAACGAAGUAGGUGAUGAGGAGAGCAACAAGCAUGAGCACGUAAGCAAUCCCCUGAUCAAUCACCUUGGCAUCGAUCCGAUGCAAUACCGCCCCGCCUGCCGACUCCGAGUGGCCGUGCGCGAGCUGCGUCAAUCCCGAGAUGAACGCAAUUGCGAAGAACAGCGCGCACGCCCUCGUCGAACUCAUACUCCGAUCCCUCGAGAAUUACUUGCAAGGCUUAUAGUGUAGCUAGCUUUAGUGAGAGAGUUAAUGGAGGUGAAGGGCUUAGAACUCAGAAAUGGUUUGUGUGGUUGUUGUUGUUGUUGUUGUUGUUGUUGUUGUUGUUGCGGUAGGUGCGUAGGGGGUGUAUUUAUAGUAAUAGUUUGAUUAUUUUUCUUAUUAUUUUAUGGUUUAGUUUUUUUAAUAAUUUUUAGGGGAGAUGGUUUGGAGUAAGAGUGGGGGAUACGAACUAGGGAGCCGGCCGUUGACCGGAGGAACGCGGAGGGGGCGGGAAGGGGGAAGGGCACGUGCCGCGCGUGCGAGGAUGGUUCCAAGAAUUAGGGUUUCCGCGUAACGGUCAAAUUAGGCGACGAAGGGACGAAGAAACAAAGGGCAGGCCCUUUGCCGUUAGAUCUCGGUGUUUAAUACGUGGGAUGAAUAUGAAAGAUGAGCCCACACCUGCUCUUUGCUGCUUAAUUAUCAUCUGAUUCUCGUUCUUAUUAUUGAAUUUUAAGCUAAAAUUACAAAAAUUAAUAUUCUCCUAUCAAAACCUACUUUUUUUUAUUUUUGUUGUCAUUUAAAAAUCAACAUUUUGUCCAUUUAAAAAAUAAAAAAUAUUCACUUCUGACCCGUCAUUAAUAUUAUGUUAGAAUUCCGUUUCUAUACUGAAAAUACUCUUCUAUCCCUCAUUUCAUAGCGCCGCCUCCUUCCUUGGUCUUUGCCGAUGACGUCUUGGCUGUGCCGCCUUGCCCUUCUCUGCCAAGUCGCCCUCGUCCAUCCCUCCUUUCUACGCCUACAUUUAUGCCCUCGCUUUUGGUCGGAAAGAAGAUGAAAAGAGAGAGGAUAUUUAAUAUUUUGGUCAUUUUAUCAAUAUAGUUAAUAUUGUACCUUCGUGAAUAUUUUUUAUUUUUUAAUAAUGCAAAAUAUAAAUUUUUAAAUAAUAGGAAAGAAAAGUAAAAAAUUAAAUUUUGAUGGAGAGAUUUUCUAGUCUGAAUUUUACUUUGCAUGAAAUUUAAUCACCGUGGAAUGAGACCAUUAAAAGAUUCUUAAAAUUUUAUUUUUGUAAUUUUAAAGGUUUAAUCUAUAAUUCUUAAGAUGCGAUUUAGAACUUUCAAAAAUUGUAUAUAGUUAAAAAAAAAACUAAAAAUUACACGCUUUUAGAUUAUUAAUUUCUUACGUAACAAACAACAAUCUUGACUUUUGUAUUAUAGAUUUCAACAUAUUUUUCAAUGAGUUUAAGAUUCGAAUAAGAUUUGAAUUUAUAGCCUCCUAUUUUAAUACCACAUGAAACUACUAAUUUUUCUAAUAGAUUAAGCACAACUGCAUAUUUUUUAUAUUCAACAACGAAAGUAUAAAAAAAAAGAAAAAAAAGAAAAAAAGGGAAAGAUUACUACGUGGUUUACCGAUAAUGUGGUGGACUUGGUCCAGGCAAAUAUUCUCCAAAUCCAGGCCGGGUUACGGCCCCAUCAUAGUAUCCUAGGAAUUAGACCGAGCCCAGUUUGGGAUGGGCCUAUUAACGGUCCAACGCUCACGAAGCCUAAUAACAGGAUAUUAAACACAGUACGGUACAGCCCACGAUCCAUCUCAUCAAACGUAUUACACAAAUACUCCUAUAGAUGUCCCUAUGCAAUGUCCCAUCCUACCGUCCAUCUCCUCAACGUCACGAUCUUCCCCGCGGUAACGAACGGACAGGAUGUCUCAAAUUUACUGGUACGGGAACCCGCAUAGAAAAAUUCUGUACGUUCGGCUUCCUCCGAUGGAUCUCGUAUUCCCGUCUCUCACAGCUUCACCUUCUCUCUCUCAGAUCACGUGAUAGCACGUGCGUCGCGGACGUGCCCCAAACUCGACCAAAAUUUCUCACCGCCUCGCCCCAAAACUGAAGACGAGGUCGGGAUCUCUCUCUCUCUCUCUCUCUCUCUCUCUCUCUCUCUCUCCAUCCAUCAACGGCGACAGGUAACUCCUUUACUCCCUCCCAAACUCGGUGCGUAGAUUUCGAUUGUUUAAUCUGUAAACGAACCAUGGAUUACUGUAGAAGCAGGAUCAAAUUGAGCUUUUAAGCUCACGAGGAUCGUGUUUGAUGCUAAUAUACUAAUUUAUUGGCUAAUCACUUGAUCGGAGAUUCAUCUGUUGUGCAUCAUGAUGAUUUCGUAGUGAUUCGUUGCUUGGAUAAUGAUCUAAUGGGUGGUCUUUGAUGUAUGCACAUGAAGAAGAUUAAUUUGGUUUAAAUUUGGAUUUGCAUGGUGGAAUAAUCGCAAAUUUGGAUUCAAAUGGAACUAACAAGUGGAAAAUGGACGUGUUCAAUUGUGAUUGCUAUGAGCUUUAUGAAUUAAAUGAAGUUUGAAGAGCUAGGUUGCACUCUGGACUGGAACCGAAACAUGUACAGUUCUGUAGUUAACAUUAUCUUCUACUGCUAAGAUGGUCUUUUACGAUUCCAUGAUCAUCAGGAGAAGUCUUGCAGUUGACAUUCAAAUUUUAGCGUGCUUGUUGCAUGUGUGUAUAUAUGUAGUUAUGUACACACUCAAUUUAUGGUUCAACAGUAGAACACUAGCAAACAUAACAAAUUAAUUGUUGCAGGUGAAGCAAAUAAAAGCUAUGUCUAAACCUCGUGAGAUUGGAGAUGGCCUUGCUGUGCUGCAGUUACAAAAGUGGCAUUGGUUGCCGUUUCAACUUGAGAUAUCGGAAUUUUCUGAAGCUUUUAUAUCCCCAACAAGGCAGCUACUUUUGUUGCUUUCACACCAGUUUGAAGCCAUGUUACUUUCUCUUACUCCAGGUGUUUCUUUGGUUGAAAAUAUCUCUUUCUCUGUUUCUCUCUGCUAUCCUUCCUGUUACUGAUUUUGAUCUGUGUCGACUCAGGGCGGUUUUCUUUAGAAGCUCAAGAGUCAUGCUCAUCAGAGUUUUCAGAAGGCAAUACAAGCACUAAACAACCUUCAGAAACCAACUCAUAUACUGUUAGUUCUGAUAGAUUUCAAUUUUCAGCAUUUGAGUGUUGUCCUGUUAUUUCCGGCGUGAAGUCUUUGGCUUGGGGCCACUGUGGCGAUGCUUACAGUCAAGUUGAGGAGUCUGGUUUUAGUGAACUUCUCAUUGUGUCAGGCAAUAACAGCAUUGUAAUUCACGCUUUCCGUCGUCUUGAUAAAAACACACCAAAGGCUGAAUCGAAGCUAAAAGAUGGAGAAAUGCGUGGGAAGUGGGUAGAUUGGGGCCCAUCUCAAGAUACAAAGUUGUCUAAUCCUAGUCAGAAAAAAUAUUUUCGUACUUUCGUCACAGAAAUCAGUGCGAGUGUUUCUAAUGGUGAUUAUUUAGCUAGAUUUCCUCCAUCAUCGUUAUUCCCUGAUUUUGCAGAGGUUGUAUCAUUUAGCAUUUAUAAUAGUAUUUUGUCAUUUUUGGAAUUCUGUGCUGGCACUGAUCCUCCAGUUGGGAAUAGGAAAACUGAAAGUGCUGAGUGUUCAAGAGUGUUUGCUAGUUCAUCACAUCGUUUUAUUGGCUUGGUUCUGACUCUUCGAGAAGAUGUUUUAAUAAACAGUGAUGAUAAUCUAAACAAUUCAAGCAAAAAUUUGGUGGUGGUUAUGAAGCUAUACCAGUGGGGUGUGAAGUGGCUAUUUUCGGUAAAUCUGCAGGAUCUCUAUCCUGGUAGUCCCAGUUCAGAGUGGGUGGAUUAUCAGUUUUCAGACAAUUUUCUCAUUUGUCUUAAUACCUCCGGUUUGAUCUGUAUUUGUGAUGUAAAUUCUGGUAGCACUGUCUCUUGUUUUGAUGCUUCACAGAACUGUAUAGUUCCUGCUUACCCUAGAAAGUUUAAGAGAUUAAUUGUGGCUUCCUACUAUCCUCUACUAGCUAUUGUCGAUGAACAUGGAGUAAUCUAUGUACUUAGUGCUGAUGACAUAAUACCUGGAAACCAUCCUUUGCUUCAUAAAUCUCCAUCCACUUUUACCCAUUCCAACUGUGGCAUAUUAGCUUUUUGGAAGGUUGCUGGUCAUGAGAUAGGUGGAACUAAACAAUAUAUUCAGAGUAAAGAAAGCCAACCAGAUGACUUUAUAAGCGGUUUUACUGGUGGAUCACAUCUAAAAGAUGGGAGAAAUUCACUUUCUGGGUCUGAAAGAGCUUAUAAUCCUUUACGUAGAGUAUUUCUACCUUUGUAUAGAACAAAUACGGAUCAAAUGAUUUGCCUUUCACCCUUUGGAAUCACUAGAUUUGUCAAAAGCUGCAAUAAAAUAGUUCACACUGAGCUGCGUGUGACUACAUCUGUUCUUGAUGACGGAGACUUGGGUGCCAGCUGGCAGUCCAAAAAGUGCUUUCCAGAGUCUGCUGCUCUCGGAGAAUCAAUUGGAUGUUCUUUUCAGGGAUGUCUGUAUUUGAUUACCAAAGAUGGGCUCUCUGUUACUCUUCCAUCAGUUCCAAUUUCAUCAAGUGCUUUCCCAGAAGCCGUCAGAUAUUGGCAACCAAAUAUAGCUUCCGACAAUGCAAAAGAGGCUAAGAAUUUGGUGUCGGUAAAGGAAUCUGCAGAAACGUGGAGGCCUUGGCAAAUAGAGGUUUUGGAUAGAGUGCUGUUGUAUGAAGGUCCUGAAGAAGCUGAUCGCCUUUGUCAGGAGAAUGGUUAGUUUAAGCCCCAUUCAAAAUUAUUUGCUAAUUUUCUUCUCUCUUCCUGCUUUAAUUUGCUACUUAUUGUUGGAGUUCAUUUUGCUUGAAAAGAACAGAAGCUAUUUAUGGGUACCGAACAAUGGAAAUAGCACUUCGAAUCAUCCUUAAUUGAUUAUGUCCUAGCACUAGGGCUACAGAUUUUUUUUUUUUUUUUCCCUUUUGAAAAACCUUUUGUUGUUGGUAUUUCAGAAAAUGUUUCCGGCAAUUAGGAGUAAAGUUAUCUCCAUAUAAUUAUGCAAUCAGAAGUAAUCAGAGCUAAUCUUCUUAUCUAAUCCUAACAAAAUAUACGUGAUGAACAGAAUGCUUGCCCCAUACCAUUUUGUCCGGAGAUGAGUCUUAGCAUUAGGGAACAACAUAUGCUUUCUAAAACAGGUUGAACUCUUGUUUGAACUUUGAAGUGUUUUUCUCAAUUAGUUGGGACUUGGGAGGGAGUAACACAGUUCAAUGUUCUUAGUGAUGUAGUUCUUCUGGGCUAGGUAUAGAUCCCACAACACAAUAGGGAUGUUGUUUGAUGUUGAAACAGUCUCUCUCUAAUUAACUCUACUUAUAAUAGGGAUUUUUGUAUAUCUUAUCUUUUAGGUUUAUAUUGUAUUUAUUUUUCUUGAGCGUGCUUAUUGCUCACUAUUACCUGCCAUUAUGACCUUGAAAAGGGGGUUUGUGAGAGGUAUCUUGAAGACAAACGGGAACUUUUUAUUGAGAGGUAAAACAACUACAAUACAAAUUCCGUUAGUCCAAUGAUUGGGUAAUACGGCUUCAUAUUAGCAGUAAAUGCUGAUUUUUAAUCUAUUAGAUGAUUUUGGAGUUGCUAUUGACGUCUAACAUGUGAAUUACAUUUUUGGGAUGUUUCCCCAUAUUUGUAGGGUACAUGUUGUGCUAAUGUUUAUACAUUUGAAUUUUUGUAACUUGGGUCUUAGAUUUUUCAAUUAAAUAGAUUAGUUCUUGAUCUCACCUUAUUUUCUUGAUUUUGCACCUCUGUUCGUUAUAGUUUCCCGUCCGAAUAGCCUAGAGUCCAUUAGAACAGAUAUCUGAUGAUUAAUCAGAAUGAUGAUUUUUCACAUCAUAUACUAGGUAAUUUGGGUUACAGUGAGUAAAGAUGCCAAAUAUUUUUGGAAUAAAAAGGAAUAAGAAUGAAAAUGCAAUAAUCGGGUAAGAUGAAAGAAUAAGCUAUUUUAGGUAGAAAAUACGGGCAACGGGGAUCACAUUGCAGUAAAUGAAAAAAUUGGAAGCUACCCACACAUUUACCUGUUAAAUGUAUUCAUUCAUAUACCAUUGACGCAAGUGCAUCAGAGCUAACUAGUUGAGUGAAAUUUUAACCUAGCUAUUAUCACUGCAUAGUUGUGAUUACAUGCUUUCUAGAAGCUAAUAUGGAUAGUUAAUAUAAUGGCAGGAUGGAGCCUCAAAAUUGCUAGGAUCCGUCAGAUGCAGUUGGCGUUGCAGUACUUAAAAUCUGAUGAAAUAGAACAGUAAGAUGUUUUCUUACGCCUUUUGAUUUUUACAGCUUUCUUAUCUGAAAAGCAUAAACCUUUAACUUCCAUCUACGGAAUUUUAAUUAAUCAUUUUUAUUUGUAGGUGAUAUUGUAGUUUCUUCUUGUGGAAAAUUCUGUCAUCAUGUUCUUUCAGCUUGAAUUGUAUUAACCAAUAAGACUUUUAUGCUAGCUUUUCUGGGUUUCAAAACUCUCUUUAGGAAAUGAUUGUUUGCUAAAUGUCUGCGAUAGAGGUCUAGAAAGAGCAUGUCCCAUUUAAUAACUCUGAUUUCUCACGCUAGCACUAACAUUCUACAUUCCUUUAAAAAGAGAACUUCUUUAUAAGCUGUUUGGCAGGUAGUGAUUGUACUUAAUGUUGAAGAGAAAAAAAAUCCCAACAAAUUUUACGUUCAUUCCCUUCCGUUAUAUGUUACUUGUAAGCUGUGUUAUCUACCAAUUGUCCUUUGUUUUAGUUUUUCCUUUAAAUCAACAAACAUCCUAAAAUUUUGCAACAUCUGAGAGACAAGUAACAUGCAGGGUUAGGGGGUUAUUUGUAACAGGCAAAGUGCAUGGGCGGUUUGUGUAGUUUAGCCUUAAAGGCUAAAACUGAAUUGUCAAAACAUAACACAGUAUGUUGAAUUAGUUAGCAUUUUUGUUCGGAUGCACGAACUUUUACUGGUCGGUUGUCUUAUCUAAGAAUAGAUUAGUAAGCAACAUAUUUGCCAAUUAACCAUUUCAUCUUGUGAUAAUUCUUCAACGGUAGAAUUGAUUGUGUUUGGUUACUGACUGUGGUCAAAUUGUAGAUCCCAUGACCGUAAAGAAUGUCUGAUGGCAUCUUUAAAUAUGACUGUGGUCAUAUUGUAGAUCCACCUGACCAUGAAGAAUGUAUGACUGCAUUUCUAAAUACGAUUUGGUUUGGGAUGAUCUAAGCUUUUGUUUGUUUUUUGAAUCUAUGGGAUCGAUGGAUAAACAGAUGUUUGAAUAUGCUUGUGGACAUCAAUCUAGCUGAGGAAGGCGUCUUGAGACUUUUAUUUACUUCUGUCUAUCAGAUCUUUUGCAGAACUGGAAGUGAAAAUGAAGUUGCUGUCGCAUCAAGGUAUAUUUUCUUCACAUGACAAAUGUGUCUAUUUUAUCAUCAGAAACAAGUACUAAGGAAUUAAAGGGUUUCUUUUUUCGAUAAAAACUGUUUGUUUUUGUUGUAUAUAGUUAGUUUCGAGCUUUGUGACCUAUGACAUAUAUGUCAUAAUUAUUGUACAAUGUUUUGCUAAGUGGUAUCAAUGGGCCAUUGGAUAUGAAAACGACUUGUUAUUUUUUGGUUGAUAUACAAAAGCAAGGAAAACAUAUAAUACUAUGGACUUCUUCGAAAUAUGAACUUGCUCUCUUGUCUUACCUUCUUCUACAUGUCCUUACUGAGCAUAUAUUUUGGGAAGAUAAAAUUAAUCAACAACGAAAACUUACCAAGUUUAGUUUCUUCAUGUAGAUCUUUCUUGAAAUGCUGUUGUUCUUUUUUAAUUAUUUCCUCUACAAGUUUUGGUAAAAGGAACGGCGACCAUAAACAUUCAUUUGUGUUGGAGGUGGGUUCCUGUAGGCGGAUAAAUCAUUUGGAUAGCGAGGUUUUAGUGGAGUACGGGCAACAUGUAUUUCAUGGUUUAGUGGCAAUAGUUGCUGAAACUUAUUCCUGAUGAUCCUUUUGUUUGUCCUACUGUAACUUCUCUGCUGUACAAUGUUUAGCCAGCCAAUCUAUGAAGAACACUACUUGACAGUGAUUAAUUGAUUUUUUUUUUUUUUUUUACUUUUAAUGGUCUGUUUGGCCCUGCUACUAGGUGUAAUUCCUUUUAAUGAAUUUUUGUUUUAGGAGGAUCAUAUGAAGAUACCCUCAACAGCUGCUUUCUGCAGUAGAAUUAGAAGCUCCAAAUUGGAGUGUAUGCUUGAGUCCAGAAUCUAAUUUCUGCUUCCCACUGCGGCAUAGCAGUGGAAGCUUUAGAUUUUUCUCUUUAAUAAACGGUCUCUAAGCGCAGCUGUUGCAAAAGAAGCAGCAGAAGCAAGGGCAAACAGGCUCUUAGUUUUUUUAAACUGACUGUAUAUGCCAGUAACUGAAUAUGUUUCCUCGGAAGGUAAACUAGUCUGCAAAUUUUAAAAAAAUUAUUGAUGAUGAAGAUCGUGACAUGCUAGUUGAGCUUCAACUUGAUUUGUAAUGCAAACAGUGUGAAUGCAGGUUGAUGUCUUUAGCAUCCCGGUUUGCAACUAAAAUGGUUCGAAGAUAUGGACUCUUGAAAAAUAAGAAAGGUAAAUGUUGUGUGAACUAUGAAGUAUCAGAAGGUAUUGAAGUCAUAGGAAGAUCUAAUUUGUUCAAUGUAAAUUUAGAUGAGGUGGACAAUUCAAGAAAGCUUUGUGAAAUGGCUUACUUUUUGGAGGUCAUCAGAGAUAUCCAAGGCCGAGUGGCUGCAAAAAGCAAGAAGUUAGUUCUUGAGGUAUUACUGUGAACUUUCUUCAUGAUCGGUAGUCAUUUUGUUUGUUAAAGUUUAAGCUACCUAUGAAGUUUCGAAACUCUUUAUAUUACCAAUUAAGUCCCUACAGCUCAAUAAGUUAUCAAUUUCAACCCGUUUUAUCAGAUAGUUACAUUUUUUGACAUAAUCUUAAAGGGCAUAUCAAUUAUUUUGUCAGUGGAUGGUUGAAAGCUAAUAAAAAUAAUAAACUUGUAAUUUCUUAAGACUUGGGGGACUUGUUUGAUGAAGAUAAUAGUUGAGUUAACCAAAUUGGCACCUUCAUAAAAGUAAGGGGAAAUAAUGUGAUUAUUUAACUUUUAGUAUUAUUAUUUUUGUAGCUCGCAGAUGGCGGAGAUGCAACGAACAUGGCAGAAAAAGAGUUGUCGCAGGAUGAUUCUCUGCUUCCAGUUGUUAUUGCUGAUACUGCUUCACUACAUGCCGUGGAAUCUCAUAAUAUGCAAGAUUCAACACCAACAAAUCUAGCUUUGACACCUGCAAAAUCAGCUAUGAACUUAGCCAAUUCUAGUGAUUUCCGUGAAACAGCGGAAGACCUAAGAAAAAAAAUGAUUUUGGAGAACACCAAGGAUAUGAUUAGACGCUGGGAAAUAGAUAAUUUCGACCUAAAAACUGUUGUAAAAGAUGCUUUACACUCGGGCCGUCUCCCUUUGGCUGUUCUUCAGCUUCACCUCCUACGUCAAAAGGAGUCAGUUUCUGAAAAGGAAUCUCAAGAUACCUUCAGUGAAGUUCGGGAAGUUGGGAGAUCUCUUGCUUACGAUCUGUUUAUAAAGGUACAGUAUUGUUCUAUCAUUCGCAACAUUUAGGUAAAUAGUGGUAAACUUCUUCACUAUCCAACCAAACACAAUGGAAGUAUGAGCUAUCCUUACUUGGAAUUGGGUAGGGAAGAUAUGUCCUUUAUGCGAGGAAUAGCAAUUCCAUCGGGGAUGGUGACCUCCUCACUAUUGUCGGCCCCUACAUUUUCUACUAAUCCCCACUAUUCUCAGCCAAACACUAUGGAGAUAACACCUAGAACUAUGAGUUCAACUUUUGAGUAACUUCUCACUUUUCCCCAGCUAGAGGAUCCUCAGACCAAACACUGCCUUCUAGGUAGAAGAGAAACAAAACUUGUUCAGGUCAAAACUGGAUUAGAUAAAGCGUAAAAUCAAUCCCAUCUGUUGGGCUAGGUUGGAUCUCGGAAGCCCGAUAAAAUCCAGGUCGGUCUUUAGUUUCCUUUAAAGCCUCCACACCUGGAAUGGUUGAUUUUAAUUUGGCCCGACCAAGCAUGGCCAUUUGGACUGGGCCUGUGCUCAAAAUAGCUAGAGAAAUCCAGGACCGGGCCAGGCAUUUUCUCUCGACAGAAGAACUUGAGUUGGCCCAUGAUUCACUAAGGUCCAGUGAUCAUCUACUAUGCAGGGCCGACCUGCACCUGGUUAGUCCGAUUGACCCAACACCGGUAUUAAUUUGGAGAGAACAUUUUGUGGGCCAAGUUUUAUAAACAGUGUUUUAUGUCCUGAUGUGAUUAUUUUCGGGGUCAGACCAGAUCGGUCAACCCAAUGGGAAUACAUCUUGCCAUGCUUUCUAUGAUUUGACUUGAGUUUCUGCUGUGUUUUAACACAUUCUGAUUGACAGGGUGAAAGUGGGCUAGCUUUGGCUACACUAGAAAGACUUGGAGAUGAUAUAGAAACUGUCCUCAGACAGUUGUUGUUUGGUACUGUCAGGAGAUCACUCAGAGCACGAGUUGCAGAAGAAAUGAAGAAGUAUGGAUACUUAAGAUCACAUGAGUGGAAGAUAUUGGAGAGAAUAUCUCUGAUCGAGGUUUGCUUGUAUGCCUCAUCUUGUGUGUUUCUGUCAAUAUUUUGAAGAGACUUUUAAAUAUAGAUCCUUGUAAAAUCAUACUUUUCUGUGCAUAUCCCUGUGAAAGUUUCAUUCCAUACAUAUCUGCUGGCUUUCUUACAAAUAAGAAAACCUUGUCCUAAGUUGGGGAAUCAUCCAAAUGGGAAAAGUUGAUUUUAUAUUGAAAAUAAAAUAUUUAAAGAGAUGUGUUUAUUUAAGUUCAAGGGAAUAUGUGUAAGAAAUCAAAUUUUUGAAGGCAGUCAUUAAUAUUCGCAGGUAUAUUGUACGUAGAUGGGUAUCUAUGUAUAUUUCUUUUUUUUUUUAUAUGCCUAAAGUAGUUACUGUUUGCUGUGUAAUUAAUUCAGCAUGCUUUCAUAUCAAGCAUACUAUUCAAUCUUGUAUCAUACUAAUCAUAAAUUUUGCUUUUGUUGGAUUGAAAAGAGAUUGUAUCCUAGCAGUAGUUUUUGGGGCACAUAUAAUGGGAAGCAAAAACUUAUUCGCGAAGCUGCUUCAAAGGUUGCAUCCACCAAAGCAGAUAGGACAUCAUUGGUUUUACAUGUUUAUGAUAAUACUAUUAUUGAAUGUGGGGAUAUUGAUGGAGCUGUUAUUGGUUGUUGGGCAAAUGUCGAUAGUACUAUUGCUCCAUCUGAGGUUUGUGAAGAUGAUGCUCAUUCUGGGUAUUGGGCUUGUGCUGCUGUGUGGUCUGAUUCCUGGGACUCGCGAACUAUGGACCGUGUAAGUGCCAUACUGUUAGUUUCAACUUAUUUUGUAGCCUCAUGUCAGAAUAGUCUGUGAAGCAUAGUAGUGUGGCAAUAGUGUGAGAAUCUACAGUGUAAAAACUAACAACAUAAAUUAAUUCACACAUGUUGUUUAUGUAGUAAUAAUGUUGUCAUACAAAAUUUUCUGACAUGUAUAGCCCAUAAAACCAACUCUCAGUGUGGUGUGCUUUUUUUUUUUGAAUGGAAGUUUGAUAAAGUUCUGGUCAUCAACUUUUUUAAUAGUAGUUGUAUUAUGUUAUGUACUUGAUGCUUUGUGAUAGAGAAUUUGACCACAAUCAAAUUAUCAACUUCUUAACACAUACAUACAUAUAUAUAUAUAUAUAUAUAGAGUCCGGCUAUGGUGCUUGUAAAAGUACCAAGCACUUGGUGCUUGUAAAUUUUUUACCGUUAGACUUAUGCCUUUGAUCAUUUUUACCCGUUAGAUUAUACUAUUCAACCAACCACCCACUCAACCCUAGGGGGCCCACAUCAUCCUAACCGCACAUCCUUUAAUCCAAGGGUUGAAAACUUACAAGCACCAAUGACUUGGUACUUUUAAAAGCAUAGGAGCUCAAUUCUAUAU